rnacentral:lncRNA from 1 species
CCCUUUUUUUUCAUUUUUUUUUAAAUUGUCAUUAUUGAUUAUCUGUGUUUACUUUUUUAAGACUUUUUUUUUUCUUUUGCUGAAUUGUUAUUUUUAUAGAUUUUUAGAAAUUUUAAUAAUAACUGAACAAUUUGUUUUUAAAUAUUCAAAUAAUACGUACAUGCAUGAAAUGAAAUAAAAACACGUAUAGGCGGAAAGAGAGACAGCGAGGUGGUGGAGAAGGAAACGGGGUGGAGGUGGGGGCAGACCCAAGUUGGACGGUUAAUCUUUAAAAAGGCCCACCCUCACAGGCAGUGGCCAGUGGGGUGCUACUACCAACUUCUCCGUGUUUUCCAAUUCUACCCCUUUUAUUUCUUUAUCUUUCCCUCCCUCGGCUUGGCCCGCAAUUAUAUAACAUCUCCAAGCGAACAUGUGAUGGCAUGCCCCACUCAUAUUCCACCAUCUUCAUUCUUCUUCUUCUUUUAUAUGUAUAGUUGAAACGGUGUUUCCAUAAAGGUGUUGAUAAAUUGGGUAGAGUCAUUAUUGUGAAUAUCAAAUCUUAUUGGGCUGUCAGAACAAAUUGAAUUAGUGAACCAAUGAAAAAAUAAAGUAAAAUUCGUUAGAAUCAGUUAAUUAAAUUUUUUUAAAAUAACAAAUAUUAUCUAAAUUUGCAACUACAAGUCUUAGCCACUAUUUUCUUAACUUUGAAAAUGAAUUAUAAAUAUAUCAGUUUUUGUAUAAAAAAUAUUCCUUUCACCCAUACAUAAUUUUAUAAUUUUUUUGGGUGAGCUAUUAAAAUUUUAAUCCUACCAAGUAGCAGUGUACGUAAUUGCUUAAAUGGAUAGUUAUUUAUAUCAUUCUCACUUUUUCUUUCAUACUGAAAUUAAUAACCAAAACCUUGCCUCUCCAUUUUCUAAAAAAUCAAAACUUGGAAAUAGAAAAGGAAAGAAAGUGUUUGUCCUUUUUAUUUCUAUUUUUUUUAUAAUUCCCUUUGAUUUUUCAUAGUAUUUAAAGUUAUUCUUCGAUUUUUAUAAUUAUUACCCCAAUUUUACAAAAAAGUUUCAAGAACCUUUUUUUGUGGGUGCAGACAUGCAAAAAAAAAAAAAAAACUCAAGAACGUUACAUAAUUUCAAAAGUCAUUGUGUAUGUUUUUAAGUUUUAACUAUUUCCCAUUUUUUAUAAACUAGCUUCAAAGUACCUUUUAAAAAUCAAAGUUUUUAUAUUUACUUUCAAGUUCAUCCAAACCAAACCAAACUUUAAAGAUUGUUCUUUUCGUUUUAAAAAUUUAUCUUGCUAUUUUAUUUUAAAAUAUAUAUAAUCUUAAUCUAAUAUUAAUAUAAUAUUCAUCUUAAUAUUUUCGUCGGCACUAGAAAGAAGAUGAAAAAAACUGAAACCCUAUCUCGUCACCUAAUCGAACUAAAACAUUAAUUAAAAUUUCAAUUAGGUAUUAAUUUGUUGGUAUGUUAAAAACAUGCAAACUAAAAAUGCGGAUUCAAUUAUAUUAUUAAAAUGAUUAAGUGAUUUAAGUUGUUAAAUAGUUAAAAGUAAAAUUAUAUAAUUUAAUUAAAUUAAAAUUUUAUGAUCUAUUUGAAAAUUGAAAUUAAAUUCAAUACCUGAGAAUUAAAAGUUAAAAUCUCUAAUAGUAACUUUUUCUUCCUAUCUUAAUUUGUUGGCAUAUAUGGGAAAAGCUUAUAAUUGUUACUUUUUUAUUCUAUUUAAUUAUUAAAGAGAAAGUAAAAAAGAGUAUGGGUUAAAUUGACAAAAAUUAUAAAGAUUGAGGGGUUAAAUUUAUGAUUGUAUCUAAUAUUUUAACAAAAUUAACAGAAGAUCUGAAAAAGAGACUAAUUUUAAUUAAAUAAAAAUAAAUAGACCAAAUCCACACAAAUCAAUUAGCACAGAUACUAUCCUCAAAAUUUAACCUAUAAAAACCAGUUAGUCCAUAAAAUUUUUCGAAAAACCGCUUGCAUAUUUUAAAUGAAAAAAUCAAUUUAAAAGAAAAAUAAAACUAAAGCUCCGUUUAAUUUAUGAAAAUAUUUUUUUUUAUUUUAGUUAUUUUCUAUUGUUUAAAAUUUUAAAAUUAAGUUAAUAAAUAAAAAUAAUAUAAUAUUUUAAUAAUAAAACAUGAGAAGUAAAAUGAUUUUUUAUAUUUAUAUGAUUCGAACCAAGAUUUAAUAUUUGUAAAACAGCUAAAAAAAUUAUUUUGUAUUUAAUUAAACCAACCUCAAUUAAUUUAAAGUUAAAAAUUUUUAUUUUCAUAAUUUUCAAUUUUAAAACAUAUUUGUAGUGAAAAUAACAUUUUAUUAUUUUCUAAUUUAAAAAAAAUAAUCUAUUUUGUAAAAAAAGGAAUGUUUUUUAAAACCCAACAAAACCUUAUUUUCUAUUAACUAAUAAUUCAAUUUUUUUUUGUUGAUGAGAAUAAAUAAAUAAAUAAAAAGAAGGAGAAAUCAUAUCUUCAUUACAUUAGACACGUCAGAAAGAAGAGAAAAGUAGGAAUUGUAUUAUAGAAAUGAAGAGAGAGAGGGGAAGUAAGUUGAAAUAGAGGGAGGUUAGUUUUGUAAAAUACUAGUAGCAUGUGAUGAAUAAAUAAAUAAAUAAAGAAGUAAAACGUUUGUUUCAUACGCGUCUCUAUGAGGCCCAUAUUCCGUCGCCAUUACUGACCGACCUUUCUCGACCCCUUCAAAUCCCCUCUCUCUCUCUCUCUCCUUAAUUCCAACGCCAACGCCCCCUAAUUUUCUCUCCAACCAAACACUAAUUCUCUCCUUCCUCUCUAUCCUCCCCUUCAAAUUUGUUGUUUUCCUUUUCCUCCUUCGAAAUCACCUCAAGGAGAUAUGGCUCAAAGAACCGAAAAAGAAGAGACUGAAUUCAAAGUACCUGAAACCCUGACUCUAUGCGUUAACAACUGCGGGGUUACGGGGAAUCCAGCCACCAACAACAUGUGCCAGAAAUGUUUUAGUGCCACCACGGCCGCCACAUCCUCCUCUUCCUCUUCCACCAACAACACCGCUACUUCCGCUACCGACGAUAAAUCCUCGAGAUCUACGCCGACUCGUUCACAGGACAACCGAUCCGACUCCGCUCCGCCUACAACAGCUGCAACAACGGCAACAGCAACAGCAACGACGAAUAGUCCGAUGACUGCUUCAAAUCGGUCUGGAUACGAUACCGCGGAAAAGAAGUCGGUGAAUCGAUGUUCUGGUUGCAGAAAACGCGUUGGGUUGACGGGGUUCCGGUGUCGAUGCGGGGAGCUUUUCUGUUCGGACCAUCGGUACUCGGAUCGACACGAUUGUAGCUACGACUACAAGGCGGCGGGUCGCGAAGCCAUCGCUAGGGAAAAUCCCGUGGUUAAAGCAGCCAAGAUUAUCAGAGUUUAGUUUUUACCAAAUGGAUCCAAAUUAAAUUAAAUAAACUAUUCAAAACAUUUUUCGACCUGAAAAUAGCAAGUUGUGGAGAUCUAUGCUCGAUCUCAAAAAGAAAAAGAAAAAAGUAAAAAAAGACUGUUUCAGAGAGGGAGAAAUGAGUCGGUCGAAAUCUUGAUUGCAAAAAUUCCUGGAGAUGAACAAGAUUCUCUCUCCUCUGAUUCUUCUGGUUGGAUCAAAUCUAUAGUAUAUCAUAUCCCAUCUUUACUUUUUACUUUUUACAUUUUAUUAUUAAUUUAGAAACGAAAGAUUAUUGUGGUUUAUUAGUUGCAGUUGAUAUGUGUUACGGUGACUAGACCCCUUCCAUGAUCAAGAUCUUAUAUAUCGAGGCUUUGGUUUAGAUUGAUCGUUUGUUUGUUUGUUUGAGAUCCAUAUGUUUGAUGGAAUUAUUGCUAAUUUUGAAAUUCGUUCAUAAACUAAUUUAAAGGGAUAAUAAUGGCAUGUAUCUUAAAUUCGGUGGACAGCUUUGGGCAAUGAUGUAAUUUUGUUGUUUUCGGUGUUGAAAUCUAUACUAUUUUUAUAUUUGUUAGUAUCACAGUUUCUAAUAAAAUGAAGAAUACUCUCUUUGAAAAUGACGUAUAUAAUAAUUCUUUUAGAAAAAAAGUCUAUCAAAUAUUUUAACCGGACAGGUGUGGCAAAUAAAAAAUAAAUGAAAUAGUAAUGGUUUUAUAAGUGGCCAGGGGUUUGAUACGAUUGAUUAGAUGUUGUAUUUUGCCCAAUCCAAUCAGUAGUAGGCACGUGUAGAUAGAUAUGAAAAAGAAAAAAAAAAAACAGGCUGUAAAGAUGGGUUGGGUGGUUGCUGUUGAAGAACAAAAUCCAAUAAAAUAAUGUUAAAAGAGAUUGGGGGAGGGGGACGUGUGAGGAAAACGAUCUUCGGGUCGGGUUUGGUAUUGGGUCCAUAUUUGUGUUCCACAGCCGUAUUGAUUUUGUCGAAUAGCAAUACCACUGCGCAUGGGGGACCAAUUAAUUGCAGUGUCCUUUCUUGGCCUGAAAAGCUGUGAAUAACAAACUUUACUUUAAUACUUCUUCUAUUUAAUUUUCGCUAUUUUUUCUGUUUAAUAUCACUCAAGUAAUAUAUAUACACUCACAAACGGGACAAAUUUAUCCCGAAAAAAAUAAUUGACAAACUAUAUUAUUUUUCUUAAAAUUUAUCGAUUUAAGCUAUUUUCGAAGAGAGAAAAAGAACGUUUCUUAAAGGGCACAUUUUCAUUGUUGUUUCAGAAAAAAUGCGCCACGUAGGAUGCAUCGUAGCGCGUUUUCUCUGGAACAUCAGUGAAAACAUACCUUGUAAGAUGUAUUUUCUGUUCAACGGUAAUUUCCCAACGAUCAUAAAUCCAAACAACUAUUUUUCCUAUAUAAAUCCUCCAAUUAUCAUUUCAUUCAAUUCAACUCUCAACUUAUUGUUCUCAAUUUGUUAUUCUAAAUUCCCAUUUCCAUUUUUUUUAAUAUUUCUAAAACUUUUGAUUUUAUUUUAUUCAAUUUUCGAUGACAUAUCAGCUUAUUCGUUUGGAUGACAUGAACAUCUCCGACGUUCAAUUACAAAUGGUAAUAAAAUAUUAUUUAAUUAUUUAAUUUUAAUUCGUUAAUAAUUAUGAUGUUAAGAAAAAAUAUCAAAUUAUUUAAUUUUAAAUAGUUAAUUAUUAUGCUCUUGAGGUUAGUAGUUUUUUAUGUUUAUAUACUUAGGCUGAAGAUCAAAUUUUGGAGACGUACAUAAACAACUUAAUCGAAGGUGCACUAGAGGUCAUUCAUGGACACUUGCGAGAUGUAGACUUUUUAUAUGUUACUCGCAUGCUCGGGGAACUAAAUUGGAUUCCCCACUCAUCAGUGCUUUGGUCGAGAGAUGAAGACCGGAGAUGCACAUGUUCUAUCUCCCCUACGGUGAAUGUACAAUUACACUCGAGGACGUCAGUUUACAACUCGGUCUACUAGUCGAUAGGGAUGUCGUUACAGAGCUAGUUGUUAGUGUCGAUUGGAGUGCAACAUGCGAGAAACUACUGGGGAAUGUCGAACAGGUUUAAAGGUAGCCGGAUUGAGAUAAGAUGGUUGGAGAACAACUUCGUAACUAUCAACACUUCAACGAACGACGUUGAAAAGGAGAAAUUCACGCACGCAUUCAUCGUGAGGUUGAUCGGGGGCUUACUAAUGCUAGAUAAAUCUCAUAAUCUGGUACACUUGAGGUGGUUAAUACUACAAGUCGGCUUGAGAGAAGUGGGAAGAUUUAACUGGAGAUCGACAGUGCUGGUGACAUUGUACCGAGAAACGUUUGACGAUACCGAAAAAGCUAAAAUAGGCGUUUGCAUGUUACUUCUUCAAUUGUGGGCAUGGUAUUGACUACCAUUUCUACGCCCCUAAGUGCAAGUCCCUUACGAAUUCCCACUCGUAACAUGGUAAAUUUAUUUGAUAAUAUUGUUAUCGUAUCAAACUUUUCACUAUUAUAAUUUUGGAAUAACAUUUUUUGUACAGGUGAAACAACCCCGCCAGACAUAGCGAUAUACCGACCAAGCUCGAGGACAUCUGACUAGCUUUAGACCAACAAACAGAAGAUGAUGUUAGUUUAUUAAUUUUAUAGUUAUCAAUUUUUUAUUCCAACAUUUUAAAUUAAAUAUUCGACACUUGUUGGAAUUUAUAAAUCCGUACUAUAGUUUGUAUGGAUGUCAUACGCGAAUCCAAGGAUUCAAGAAUACCUCCUAGAUGAAUUUUUGGCCAACCACAGAAUCUGGCACGUGAAAGUGUCAUUGAUCAUGUUUGCAACUGUCGAGAUACACGAAUUUAACUGAGCUAUGCAGCAGUUUGAGUGUACACUGUAUUCCGCCACAACCUUAGAAGCUCGAUGACUUGCACAAGAUCGACUUACGGGGGAAAAUAGACGAAGAUUGGACAACAUUCCGCAAGAAGUAUAUCGAGAUUUGGCAGCAGGGGUACAAUUACUUGCCAAUGUGUGAACUAUUUCUUGAGCUGGAUUUGGUGACAGCUCCGGAUUACAUGGAUUGGUCUAGACAUCACGAGAAGUCGUAUCUACUUUCGGCUUCAAAAAGUAGCCAACAUUGUCGUAUGAGGCCAAGACAAAUACCCAUCAAUCUCAAGUUGGGAGGAGAUGUUGCGGAGGGAUUGACAUGUCCGCCACAUGCAUACAAGGACCCGAUUGUCGAGCAACAUCUUGGUUAGUAUAGUUUAUUUAUUCUUAUCACAAACCCUUUUUAUUUCAUACCAUCAUCACAGUACACAUAAUCAUUCCCUGCAUCAACACAUACAACACCGAUUUAUUUUACAUGAGCACCAUAUCACGCACAAUCGUUCCCUGCACCAACACAUUCAUCACCACUUUAUUUCACAUAAGCACCAUUACAUGAGCAAUCUUUCCCUGCACCAGCACAUUCAUCAUAAGUUUAUUACACACAAGCAUCACAACACGUGCAACCAUUCCUUUCACUGACACAACCAUCAACAGUUUAUUUUUCACAAGCACCAUAGCAUACACAAUCAUUCCAUGCACCGAUACGUUCUCCAACUCUAUAUGUCCUAUAACCACCACCCACUGCAUCAUAUUACAUGCCUCAUGUCCAGCUGCACGAACACAUCUCAUAUUGUCGAUAGUGUCACAAACACCCUCAGUAUCGUUAUUUUUUCGAUUUGGGUCGUCCUCACACACACCUACUUGAUCGAAAGGGAUGUACUAUCAGUAACUAGAACACAUUCACAAUCAUCCAUAUAGGAAGAAGAUGAGAUCAUCGAUCAACCCCGAAGUACACAUGAAUAGGAGGUUGAAAAGGAGUCGUCAGCCUCAAUAGUGUGACGAAACCCUAAGCGUGCCAGACACGCACUCGAUUGUAGCACACAUUUGGGACAUCGUACACCAUGAAACCCGGGUCAUCUCAUCGAACGAUGUUCAAAGCUUGACCAUUAGAUCCACUUUUCUCCAGUUUAGUGAAAAUGGGAUCUGGUUCUGAAAUCACUGUAAUUUUCGUACCAUUUGAUCUGGAAUCCUCUAUUGGGUCAUUAUUUAUUACUUUAUCAUCAUCGACCUUCUCAAUCUUGCUCUCACCGAUUGAGGUUGUUGAGAGUAGACCAUCCAUUCUUAUAAAUUUGACGUCAGCCUCAAAAUCACUUCUUUUUGACCUAUCCCGGUAACUUGAUGAUGUACCCACUUGAGUGUUACUGGUGUUGAUCAUCGACAUCCUAAAGUUAAAAUCAAAGGCACUGACGGAAUGUUAUGCGGGUGUGUCAUACACCCGAUAACCGAAUACACCUAACCAUUUUCUAAAAUUGGUGUCAAAGGACGAAACAGAUGAAUGUCUCGCUAUUGACGAUGGUUUUAACGGUAUGAGCUCUGCAGUAAUGAUGUGAACCCACCGCACAACCAUGCGGUAGGACUUUCAGCUCCUUGAAUCGGGGUAGAACUUAACAGACACUAUGCCAUCGAGCUUUGGCCACAUUCGUCCUCUUCGACAAAGUAGACAUAAAACUCCAGUACAACACUCCCACUAGAGUAAUGGGAUUUGAUCACUUGCUCUAGAUCGUUGUCCCUCAUGACCUCAUAGAUGGCAUAUCUAACAGGUUCUUAUGAAGACAUAUAUAUCUCAAUUUGAGGCUCAAAAUUUUUCUCUAAAUCCCUAUUUUGUGCCUAAUCCUUAUCCGAAGAUCUUUCAAUGUUAGGCCGCGGUUGAAAGGCAGAUCUUCAGAUUGUACUAAUACAAAAACGAGGCCAAUCUUAUUCUCACAAUUUUGACUGUUGUAAUAGAUAACUACUCUGACUCGUCUGUUCAUUUCAACAAAAAUAUUGUAUUCCAUAUGUUUAAAACCAAUGAAAUAGUAAGAAAACACAGUUCCCAUCAUCCAAGACCGUAAACUUACAUGUAAUUUAAAGAAUUACAUUUGCUUCGACAACAACGUAAGAAUGAAAUCUAAGCUUGUAUGACAACGCUUAUUGCUCGUAAUGCCAAGUAACCUUCAAAAAUUUACUUCAAAAGCCUUAUGAAAAACCAAAUGCUUGUAUUAUGCUUAUAGAAUUUUAAAGGGUAGAAAAUGCUGUAACAGCCCAGUUUUAGUUAAAUCAGAACAGUGGUUUUGGAACUACAAAUCUGAGGUCAAAAAAUUAUUUUAAUAUUAUUUUUGGUAUUUACAACAUGUGAUUAUAUAUGUGUGAAAGUUUCAUAAAGGAAUUUUACUGUUUGAAUGCUUAAUUUGGUAAAAAAGACUAAAUCGCGUAAUGCGUAACAGUUGUGUUCUAUAAGCUAAAGGUGUCUAAUAGCUAUAGAACAUUAAAGUAAAGGUCUUUAAGUGGUAAAUAGGCCAUUUGUAAGUUAGUGGAUGAUAGUGGAGUGGCAUUUGGUGUAAUUACUAAUGUUUUUAAUGGUAAAAUAGUAAAUAAGUAAAUUACUGAUAAAAUAAAUAAAACCAAAGCUAAAAUUUUAUCCAUCUUUUCUUCCUUAGCCGAAUAUUGAAGAAGAAAGACACCAUUGAUGAACACUUAGGGUUCGACACACACAUAGCUUGAUUAAGGUACGGUUUGAGCUCGAUUUUUGAUAAUUUUUACUUUUUUGAGAUCGUUGCUUCGUGUUCUAGCUAGCCCAUGCCCUAAUUUUUGAAUUUGGUUGAUGAAUUUGUGAGUUUCCAUUGAUGAUAGCUUGAUGUUUUUGAAUGUUGAUGAUGUAAAAUGAAUAAUUAUUGAUAGAUUAAAAUGUUUUGUGAGUUUCCAUUGAUGAUAGCUUGAUGUUUUUGAAUGUUGAUGAUGUAAAAUGAAUAAUUAUUGAUAGAUUAAUAUGUUUUGUAAAGUGACUUUUGACAAAAAUGUCAAAUAGGGAUUAAAUUGUGAAAUAUGCAAAUUGAGUGGUUGAAAUGUGAAAUAAAUAAAAGUUUUGGGCUGCUAGGGGCACUAUAGUAAUUCAGCUAAGCUUGGGUUAUAUUGAAUUGUGUGAAUUUUGUGUAUUUGUGAAAUAGGGACUAAAUUGAAUAAAUGUGAAACUUUAAGGGAUAAAGUGCAAAAAUUUCCAAAUAGGUAUUUUUGGAUGAAAUUGAAUGAAUAGGUGAUUAAAUGAGUUAAAUUUGAAUUCAUAUAGAUAAAGAAAGAAAAAAUCAGAUUUAGAUUGGGGGAAAUCAAAAGUUGACGAGUAAUUAAUCUGAUCCGUUCGUUUCCGUACGAGGUAAGUUCAUAAGUAAAUAAAUGUUUUUGAAUUCAAAUGUAUAUGUUUUAUAUAUUGCUGAAUUGAUUUAAAUAUAGAUAUAUACAUUUCCGAAUUGAUUUGUAUAUGUAUACAUAUAUAUUGCCGAAUUGAUUUAAGCAUUGGAUGACUGGUUUCGUACAUAAAUUGAUUUAAUUACGAAGUCAAAAGCUCCGAAUGAAUCUUAGGAAAUGUAUAGGAUACUGAUGUCAUGAUAUUAGGACUUCCGAGGUGUGAUUUCGUGUAAGACCAUGUAUGAGAUAUUGGCAUCGAGUGAGAAAACGUGUAAGAUCCUGUCUGGGACAGUGGCAUCGAUAUAUGUUAAUAUGUAAGACCAUAUCCAGGAUAUGGCAUUGUACGAGCUUUAUAUGAUUUCCGUGUGUUCUUAACAAUUCCGAAUGCGAAUUUGAGCUAAAUGGUUCAGGUAUGUGUGAAGUUUAUAUCUUUAUGAAAUAAUAAGGUAAGUUUAGUACUUAAUGUGAUAAUAUGAAUUUAUAUGAUAUAGUUAAAUGUAUAUGUGUUUGAGAUUUAUUUAAAUUCGACCUAGUUGAAUUGAAUUAUAAAUAUCAUUAAGAUGAUUUAUUUGCUUAUGGCUUACUAAGCUUCCAAAGCUUACUUUGUGCAUCCUUCCAUUGUAUUAUAGAGAUAUAUAAAGCUAGCUCGAGCAUGGGGAUCGUCAAGAAUUAUCGUCACACUAUCAAUCGCCAUUUUGGUAUUCUGAAAGCUUGAUAUUAUGGCAUAUGGCAUGUAUAGACUAUGGCAAUUUUUGAAUUGUAUAUAAGUUGUCAUGCGAAAUGGCUUGUUAGAGAUACUAAUUUUUAUGUAUAUUCGGUCAUGUUAUAAGCUCUUUUGGGAAGUAUGUUUCGAGGUAUAUAUGUAUGAUAAUGUUUGGUUAUAAGAUUCAGCUUGAGUAAUGAUUUAGUUGGUGGAUGUGUUUUGCUAUAAUGUAAUAUGAUUCGAUGUAUGUUAGUUGGUUCGAAAUUUGAAUAGUAGAAUGGUUAUGACUUGGUUAAAUUUCAAUGUAUGAAUUGUAUUGUGAAAUUGGUUUGCACGGAAAAGAAGUAUGAUUUGUAUAUGAGAUAUGAUUAGUAGACAUGAAUUGUGAUAAAUGACUGUGUUAGACUGUGUUGUGUUAGGUAAUGCCUCGUAACCCUAAUUCGGUGACGGAUAAGGGUUAGGGGUGUUACAAACGCUCCCACAUAGGUUCAUUUUUUAGAAAUAAUAAAUUUUAUCCCGAAAAUCUCGGGUUAGAGAAAACCUCAAAGAGAAAACGCCCCUUAUAAGAGGUGUUUUCAACUAAUAUGUUAGAAAUAAACUAAAAAUGCCUCCUAUAGGAGGCAUUUUCCAUUAAAAAAUGCAAAGAGGAAACGCCUCUUGUAGAAAGCGUUUUCACAGCAAUGUCAAACGAAAACACCUCCUGCAGAGAGCGUUUUGCCUCUAGGGGUUUCAACUCCAACCAAAGCUAAUGGCUUCUGUGUCUAAGACCUGCAACUUAGGAUUCUCGGGAUAAAAAAUUCACAUUUUAUCUCGUCUCAUUCCCUAUAUAAAUGCACUAAACCUAAACCUAAUCACUCAUAUCUCUAAAUGUUUUCAUUCUUUCUCCCGUGUCUUAAAAGUUUUGGGUUUGAAGAUUUAUUUCCCUUGCUUUGAGAGAGACAUAAUUUUAGUUUUAAGUUAUGUUUAGGUUCAUGGUGAUGUUAUGUAGCUAGGUGACCUACAAAUUUCACAUGUCGUGUGAGCAUCAAGCCAUCACCCGAGAAGCCAAGAUCACAUUGCAACUCGAGGUCCAAGUUGGCAGUGAUUAUACCGUCUUGAGUUGAAUUGUAAAUAAUGCUUCAAGUUUACAAAUGGUAUGCUGCCAAGGGACGGAGCAUAGCUUUGGCCCCAGUAAGUGGUGGUUAUACGGACAUGAAAACAAUUUUUUUCAUCAUCAAAAAAGAAAGUUAUUCGCCACAAAAACAUAAGUAUGAAGAAGACAAAUGCAGUGACAUUUUAGUAUAAUCAAGUAAUUCGGUGGACAUGGAUAAAAAAAAUUACUUGAUUGUAUUAAAAUGCCAAUGCAUUUGUCUUCCUCGUAUUUAUGUUUCUGUGGUGACUAGCUGUAACACCCCUAACCCUAAACCGUUAUCAAAACAGGGUUACGGAGUAUUACCGGACAAAUCAAAUAUCUUAUAACUAGUUCACAAAUAAAUAACAGACAUAGCAUCAUUGUAUCAAAUAUGUCAUAUUAGUUCCAUUUCAGACUUGUAACCAAUUUAAACAUCAUUCUACAACCAUAAUCACAAGACUAUUAUUUUUAACCUAUACAUCACCUAGAUACAUGCCACAUUAUCAAAAGAAAAGUACAUCACUACAAUUUUUCUGAGGUCGGGAUUGCUCUGGAUGCUGGACCGGACACUGGUUUUCUACUAACCUGCGCACGAAAACAACUGUAUGCUGAGUAUAAGUAUACUCAGUGGUAUUACCAUAAUUCAAAUUUAUAACAUUAAUCAAUAAAUUAUAUACAUUCAAUUUAUGCCUACAAUUAUUCAUUAAUUAUCUCAUACUUUAAAUCAACUUGAUCAUUAAUAUCAAUAAGCAAUAUUUAACUAUCUUAAUUUCAUUGGAUUUUCCUUAUUUCACUAUCUCAAUUCCAUUGGAUUUUUCACAUCUUAUUCCAAUAGUUCAUUUCAAUUCAUAUAGAAUUCAUUCAAUUUAUCACUAUAUUCAAUAUCAACUCUAUUGCAAUUUGUACUCAUUAAUAUCAUAUAACAAAAAUUUACUCUUAAUUAAAUCAUGAACUUUGGGUUCAUGUCUUCAAAUCUCAUAUCUCGAUUUCCAAUUCACAUAUCAAUUCAUAAUUUCACUUUCUCAUUUCUUUCCAUAGCUCAAUCAAUCACACUUUUCAAAUUUUCUCAUUUCAAUUAUUUACCCCUAUUAACUUAACUCGGACCUUGGCGGAUACACGGAUCCAACCAAACACACCAGAAUGGCACCCAGUACCUCAUCGGAUAGUUCAAAGCAAUAAAGUGACACCCAGUGUCUCAACGGCAGAGCCGGAGAAAGUUGGUACCCAGUACCUCAUCUAAUCUAUCUGAAGAAAUAUAGUGACACCCAGUGUCUCAUCGACUCGAGGUCGAAGUAUCCUUAAACACUUCCAAUCCUAUGGAAUGCCAACUAUAUCCGACUCAGCCCGACUAGUUAAUAGGGUAUUCAAAUCAUUUUUCUAUUUCAAAUUCACUUUCGAUUCAAUCACAAUUCAAUUCAAAUUCACUUUCCACUUUCUAAUCAAUAUACAAUUCAAUACCAAUACAUUUUCCACUUUUCAAUCAAUGUACCAUCAAAUGCUCAUAUAUACAUAUAUAUAUAUAUUCAUACUUCAUUUCAAUUUCAUUCAAUUCACAAUUUCUCAUGUUCACAAUUCAAAUCAAUUUCUCAAUCCUAUAUGCAUUUCAAUACCACAUUAAUUCUUUUAAUUCAAAUCAUAUCACUAGUAAUUUCCAUUCAAUUCACAUACAAUUCAAUAUCAUUAAAUUCAAUAUCGAUUUUCACUUUAUUUUUAUUUACUAAACAUAUUAUUCAAAAUUCAACAAUUGCUAUUAAUAAAUUUAAUACCAAUACGUAUUUAUCAUUCAAUUCAACCUUGAUACUUACCUCAAUUUGCUUAUCAUGUAUAUUAAUUUAAAUUUUAACAAUUAAUAAUUAAAUUCGAAUUAUGGUAAUACUAACCGAAAUUUCUCUCGAGUCACUCAUUGUCCACCUUCUCCUUUCUUUCUUGGUCAAUGACUCUUGCGCGACAUUAGCUACGUAAUUAAACAAUUAAAAAUCAUUAAUACCCAAUUUCAUUUAAAUAUUUUCAUUUAUUCCUAAACUUUACCUAAAUUUUAAUUUAAUCCCUUAUCAAUACUAAUUUUAUUUUUCCAAUCUAACUCCAUAUUCUCUCUUAAUUCUUACUAUAAACUCAUUUUAACUCUUCAAUUUCACCAUAAAUCCCUAAUUUUGAGAUUCUUUCAAUUUAGUCCUUACUAUUCAAAACUUGCACUUUAUUUUACAAUUAAAUCCUUUACUAACUUCUAAUUUGAAAUUAAAUCAAUUUAACCCCUAAUUCAUCAUCUUUCCCAACAUGAACCAUGUCUAAAAAAAAUCUAAUAUCUUACAAAAUUUCAACAUAAAUCCAAAAAUACUUUGCUCUAGGAUUCCAAAAAUAUCAAAAUUACAAGAAAAGAGAUUAAAUUGACUUACCAAAUUACCUUUGAACCUUGAAACCCCAAAUUUUCCUUUAUCUUUUUCUUUCUUUCUUUCUCCCCUGUUUCUUCUCUGUUUCGUCCGUUGCUAUUAUUUCUUUUCUUUUAGUUUCUGUUUAUUUCUUUUACUUAGUUAUUUAAGUUAUACAUAUAUAUAAUAUAAUAUAAUAUAAUAUAAUAUAAUAUAAUAUAAUUAAAAUAAUACUUGUUUAUUAAGUAAAUAAAUAUACUAUAUAUUAACUAAAAUAUUCAGAUAUUUCUUUUGUUAUGCCGCCUCAAUUUAGGCUGAUGGCAUAAUUACCUAUUUGGUCAUUUUAACUUUUCUUUAAUCUAUUAUUCAACUUUCACCCCUACUUCAAUUUAGUCUUUUUCCACAAUAACUCCUAAUUAAGUCAAAUUUACUUAACCAAAACCUAAUUAAUCACACAAAUAACACCGUAAAUAUUUUUAAUAAAUAUUUACGAACCCGUUUCACUAAAACGGAGGCCCGAUAAUUCACUUUCCAAUGCCUGCACUUUUUAGGUCGUUACACUAGCAUCCUUUCUUGAUGAUGAAAAACUCAUUGUUGUGCACGCAUAACCACUGCCAACCAGGGCCCCAUUUAUGCUCCAUCCCUUGUGUGACACUCAUAACCUGUUUCCGUCACCGGAAUAAGGUUACGGAAUAUUACUGUAUAUAACAAAACAUUUUAUAGCCAAUAACAAUUAAUUUUAAAAUUAAUUUAAUAAAUACAUAAGAAAUUAGAAAUGGAAUAUAUCAUGCAUUUACGGGCUGAAAAUCGAGUCUACGUGGCCUUAAAAUAGCUUUCAAGCCAUUAGUGACCAAAUUGGAACAAAUCAGAACAUUUCAGGAAAAACUGAAAAAUUUCACCUACAGGGGUCACACGACCGUGUGAUAGAGCCCAGAUCGUGUGGCUCCAAACAUGGUUGUAUGGCUAUCCCACACGCCCAUGUGAAUCCUGUACGUAAUACGCUCAGGGCACAUACCCGUGUGUGACACACUGCCGUGUGACAGCCAGUGUCUCAAGCCAUCUGUGCCCAAAAAAUGACCAGAAUCAUGCUAUUUCCUCACCCAAUUUCAUAGGUACCUAAACCAAUUCAUAAUACAUGUUCACAAGUCUAUAAGUACACUUUAAAAAACCAAAACAUGUCAUUUUCAACUACUUAAGAUCACAUUAUAAGGCUCAUACCAAAACAUCACCUAGCUAUCAGUUACAAGUCUCAACAUGAAUACAACAAACCACUUCAACCAUUUUAUACCAAGUUAGAAUCACACAUACCAUUUGUAACACCCCCUAACCCCAGACUGUCGUCGGAACAGGGUUACGAGGCAUUAUCGGACAUCUCGAACAAUUUACAAAUAAUUCUUAAAUAAAUAACAGACAUAUAUAAUGUAAUCAUAAAUUCUUACUAAUUGACUUAAUUCAAUUUUUUUUAAAAAAAAAAUUCAAUAUAACCCCUUUAUAAAUAUUGAACCUUCCCUGCAAAUUUCAAAUCGCAACCAAAUCAAUUCCAAUAAUUCAACCAAUGCAUUUAUAUACUCACAUAUACUUAAAUCAUACUAGACAUAUUGACUUAACAACUUAAUUAAUGAAAACCCUAUUAUCAUUUCUAAUUAACUCAUAAAACUAUUCAAGCCAUUUCUAUUCAAUACCAAUGCCAUAAACAAUUAUAUCAUUUAACUAAUUUAAUCAUCAAAACACCAAAUACCUUUCUUUCCAACAAAAUAUAUAACAUACCAAAAUAACCAUUAUAAUCCCUAUGUACAUGCCACUUUCACUUAAUAGAAGAAAACAUCACCAAAAUCUUUAUGCCGAAGUCGGGAUUGUUCUGGAUGCUGAACCGAGACUCUGAACUCCUUUCAACCUACGCACGGAAACAACUGUAUGCUGAGUAUUUUAUACUCAGUGGUAUUACCAUAAUUCAAAUUAUAAUAGCAAUAAAGAAUUAUAAUUACCAAACAUGUAACUAUCCAAUUUCUUAAAUAUCAAUUAAUUCUUAAACUUUCAUUAAUUAACAAUAACAAUAAAUUUUUUUUAGCUAUUUUUUAAUUUCAAUCACAUAUCACAUGUAACAAUUUCAAUCACUACAUGAACAUUAAGUUCAUGCCUUUCAUUUUCAAUUUCAAUUUCAAUCCACAAUUUUAAAUUUUCUCAUAUUCAAUACUACAAUCGAUCAAAUUCAUUUGAUUUUCUCAUUUCAAUUAUUCACCCUAUUAAUAAUCUGGACUUUGAUGGGAUACACAGAUUCCAACCCAAACACACCAGUAUGACACAUUGUGCCUAAAACGGUACAUAGUACCUAAUCAGUAUGCGACACAUAAGUGCCUGAAACGACACACGAUGUGCCUGAUAUGACACACGAGGUGCCUAAAAUACGACACAUAAAGUGCUUAAUCGGCAAGGCCGAUAAAUCUCGUACUCUUCCAAAUCCUAUGACAUGCCAACUAUAUCCGACUCAGCCCGACUAGUUAAUAGGGUAUUCCAAUUCUUAAUUAAAACUCAAUUCAGUCACAAUUUCUCACAUUUUCAAUUGAAUCAUUUUCCAUUUUUCAAUCAAUUUUCAAUUCACAUAUUCCUAAUUCAAUACACUUUCUCAAUUCAAUAUGCAUUUCAAUUAUUCACAUAUAAUCACAAUUCAAUUUUCACUUUUAUUUCAAGAAUUCAUUUUCAAUAUCAAUUAUAUUUUUCCAUUCACUAAUCAAAACACAAUUCAAUACCAACACAUACUUUUCUCAUUCAAUUUAAUUUUCCAAAUUCAAAUCAUUAUCAUAAUUCAAUUCCAAAUUUAUUUUUCCAUUUUCAAGUCAAUAUUCAUUUCAUUUAUAUAAAUAUAUAUAUAUAUAUAUCCAUUAUUCAAUUGAAUUUCUUCCAACUUAAUAAUAGUACUUACCUUAUUAUUUGCUUACCAUACACAUAACUUAAAUUUAACAUUAAUAAUAAAUAAUUUGAAUUAUAGUAAUACAAACCUGAAUUUGCUCGAUUAUUCCUCAAUAACCUUCUCCUUUCCUUUGUCUGUCGAUGCCUCGAGUUCCUUGUUAGCUAUGAAAAUAAUAAUAAUUUACACUAUUAAUUACAACAUUAAUUUAUAAUAAUAGAAUUUCUAUCUAAUUUAUACUUUAAUUCCAAUUUAAUCCUAACUAAAUUUAUUUAUUUUUCUAAUUUAAUUCACACUCUAGUUCUAUUCAAAUUUCUUCCAAACUCAAAUUUAUCUGCUAAAUUUUCAGCAUUUUUCAUUAAUUUCAAACUUUCCUCAAUUUAGUCCCUACAACAUAAAACUUAUAGUUUAUUUUACAAUUUAACCCCUUUUAUCAAUUCUAACUAGAAAUUCUAUCAAUCAAACCCCAAAUUUAACAAUUUGUUCAACAUAAAUCAUAUUCAAAAAUCAAAGAACUUUCAAAAUUUUAACUUAAAUUCAACAAAAAUUUGUUUUAAGACCUCUAAAACAUCAAAAUUAAAAGAAAAUGACUUGAUUGACUUACCAAAUUAAAGCUUAAAGCCUCAAACCCUAAUUUUUCCCUUUUCUUUUCUUUCCCCUUUCCUUUCUUUCUUUUUCGUCUGUUCUCUGUUUCUUUUUACCUAUUCUGUUUCUAUUUCUCCUUUUCUAUCUUUUAUUUCUUUUAUUUAAUUAGUUUAAUAUAAUUACAAUAAUAUAAUAAUAUAAUAUUAUAUACUUAAAUGAUAAGUAAAUAUGUAAUAACUACUAAUAUAUGUAUUUCAUUUUUCCACAUGUCAUCAUAUGCACCAUACAUUUGUCAACUUUUUUUUUGUUUAUUUAAAAUAUAAUAACAUAAUAUAAUAUAUUUUAUAAUAAAAUAAUAUAUUAAUAUAUUUAAAACAUAAAAAAAUCUAAGAUUUUUAUCAUACUUAUGCCGCCUCAUUUCUUGUUAAUGGCUUAAUUGCCAUUUUAAUCCUUUUUAUUUUCUAUUAAUCUAUAAUUCAACUUUUACCCCCAAUUCAAUUUAGUCUUUUUUCCUAAUUUCUCUUAAUUAGACUAAAUUCAUCUAAUUAAAACUUAAUCGGACACAUUACUAGACUCAUAAUUACUCCUAAUAAUUAUUUACGAACUCGGUUUACUAAGACGGAGGCCCGAUAUUGCACUUUUUCGAUGCCCGUGAAUUUUGGGUCAUUACGUUUCUCCCCCCUUUAAUAAAUUUCGUCCUCAAAAUUUACCUGAGAAGAGAUGAGGAUAUUGCGCUCUUAUAGUUUCUUCUGGUUCCCAAGUUGCUUCUUCCACAUUAUGAUUUCUCCAUAGCACUUUCACUAGAGGAACCCGUUUAUUUCUCAACUCUUUUACUUUUCGAGCCAACAUUUGAACUGGCUUUUCUUCAUAAGUCAAAUCAGAUCAAAUUUCAAUGUUUUCAGUAGGAAUAACAUGAAAAGGAUCUGAUCUAUAUCUCCGAAGCAUCGAAACAUGAAAAACAUCCUGAAUCUUCUGUAAUUCUGGAGGUAAAGCCAAUCGAUAGCCAACCGGUCUGAUUCUUUCCACUAUUUUAUACGGCCCAAUAAAACGUGGACUCAAUUUACCUUUCCGGCCAAAUCUCAAGACUUUCUUCCAAGGUGACACCUUCAGAAAUACUUUAUCACCAGCGGAAUAUCCUAUAUCUCGUCGUUUCAAAUUCGAAUAAGAUUUUUGUCUAUCGAAGGCUGCCUUCAACCCAUCUCUAAUCUUCUUAACUGUUUCCUCUGUUUCUUUAAUUAAUUCAAGCCCAAUCGCUUUUCUUUCAUUCAAUUCUAUCCAACAUACAAGCGAUCGACACUUUCAACCAUAUAAAGCUUCAUAAGGAGCCAUCUGAAUACUAGAUUGGAAACUAUUAUUAUAAACAAGCUCGGCCAAUAGUAAGUAAUGUUCCCAACCUGAUUCAAAAUCAAUGAUACAAGCUCUCAACAUGUCUUCCAAAAUCUGAAUUACCCGCUCGGAUUGUCCGUUAGUUUGUGGAUGAAAUGCAAUACUAAAAUUGAGUCGAGUUCCUAGCCAAUCGAUAGCUCUCAACAUGUCUUCCAAAAUCUCGAUGUAAAUCGAGGAUCCCGAUCUGAAAUUAUCGUCAACAUGUUCUUGAUCUAAAAUAAUAGCUUCAUUCAAUUAACUAAAUCAAUAACAAAAUUAAGUCAUUUUAUGUAAUUAAGGCUUUUUUGACAUUUUUAUAAAUUUACCCUAAACAUUUCACUUUUAUUCAAUUUAGUCCAUAUGCCCAAAAUUCACAAUUAAACCAAUUUAUUCAAAACCCAUCCUAGCUGAUUGUCAACAACCCCCCAAUUUAGCCUAUAUUUGUGAUUAGUUCACAAGUCCUUGAAAGUUUAUCACUUUAACAAUUUAGUCCUUAAACAUUAAAAUCAUCAAAAAUUACUUUACAAAAUAACCUUAACUAACAAUCAAACUCAAUAACCAUCCAUCAAACUUUAAAAACAAUCCAAACACAUUAAUGGCAUAAUCUAAAACAUUUGACAGUUUUACAAUUAGUCCUCGGGUUAACUAGAUUAAGCUAAUACGAGCUUAAAAACAUAAAAAUUACUAAAAAAAGACCAAGUUUCACCUACCUAUUGAUGGAACAAAGUUAGCCGAAUGAAGUUCUUUUCUUUUCUCUAGGGUUUCGACAAGAUAGGAAAAAAAUAAAGGAAUAUGGUUGUAACACCCCAAACCCGUAUCCUUCGUCGAAUUAGGGUUACGAGGUAUUACCGAACAAGACAUAGUUUAUCACGAUCAUUUAUUAAAAUUCAUGCACGAAAUUAUAAUGACUUCUUUACAAUAGUUAUCAAAUUCAAACAGCAACCAUUCACUUAUUCAUAUAUGUCAAAUUCAUAUAUAUAUAUAUAAAGCACAUAACCAAUUAAUUCAAACAAGCCUUAUUAAUCAUAUCACAAAUACGAACCAUGCUUCAAUUUCCAUCAACUCAAUAUACUCCAUUCAAUCAAAAUUCUUGAACCAUAUGAGCAUCACAUUCUUGGUAUUUGACUAUCCAAUUUAAACCAAACAAAUUUUAUUCCAAUAACAAUCACAUAUAUCACCUCAUUCUUUAGUAUACAUCCAUUUCAAUGACUAAUUAUUAUACGAACCAUUUUAUAUACCUAUGCAUUUUCACAUAACAAGUUAAAACUAAUUAUAUUAUAUCAUUUAUUAGUUAACCAAAUAUGAUUCAUUAGAAAACAUUAACAAAUGGUUAAAUAUAAUCUUUAUACUUUACCAGUUAUCAAAAUUUCAUGCUUAUCAAAAUGAACCAAAUACUAUAGCCGAAUAAUUUAUCUCACCUAAUGAUCAAAGAAAAUUUUCAUCAUUUACAAAACAACUUACAAGGCAAUUUACACAUCAAAACAUAAGUCAUUAACAAGCAUUUACACUAGGUAAUCAUAGGAAGCAUGUCCUAUUUUGAACAGCUUUGAUUUGCGACAUUCAUACAUCAUUAAUUCACAAAUAUUUGGACAACAGUAAAAACAUUUGGACAACAUUGACUUGUACCAAAAAGGGACAGCAUUAAAGCACUAAUUUGGACAGCAUUAAUAAUAUUUGGACAACAUAGAUUUGUACCAAAAAUGGACAGCAUUUAAGCGCUAAUUUGGAUAGCCUUAUUAUCACACAAGAUAUACCAUAUAACAUACUUCCAAAAUGAACUAAUUACAUGGCCUAAUAGACACAAACAUUAAAAUCAUUAUCAAGCCAUUUUCGCAUGGCUACAUAUAUACCAAUCAAAAUGAACCAUAUUGAAACUAGCCCAUACAUGCCAUAAGUCGAAAGUACAAACUUAUAAGGUACCGAAAUAGCGAUCGAUAGUGUGACAAUGUUCCUGGACAAUCCCCGAACUCGAACUAGCUUUCAAAAUCUAUAUAACAAUGAAAAGAAACACAAAGUAAGCUUUGAAAGCUUAGUAAGUCAUAAGCAAUUAAUUCAUCACAAGAACAUAUAUAAUUCAAUUCGAAUAGGCCAAAAUUUAGCUAAUCUCAUACACAUAUACAAUCAUUCAUCUCAAAUAAUCCAAAUUACCAUAUUAAGUAACUUCACUUACCUUAUUUUUCAAUGAACAUGUAAACCUAUUACGUACCUGACUCAUUUAGCUCAAAUUCACAUUCGAACUCGUAUCGGCAUUGCCCGUUGAACCAUCCGGAAUCGUUAAGGAUACUCGGAAACACAUAUAUCACAUUCAAUGCCAUAUCUAAGAUAUAGUCUUACAUGUUAUCACAUCUCGAUGCCACUGUCCCAGACAAGGUCUUACAAGUAAUGUCAUAUCGAUGCCAAUGUCCCAGAAAUGGUCUUACAUAAAAUUAUACCUCAGAAGUCCUAAUGUCAUGACAUACGAAUCCUAUACUAUUCCUAUGGUUCGUACGGGGCUUUCGGACAUCGUAAUCCAAUCGAUUCAAGCUCAAACAAGUUAUCCCAUGCUCAGAUUUAUUACAUACAUUUAAAUUUAAAAACAUUAAAUUACUUACGAACUUACCUCGUUCGGAAACGAACGAAUCAGAACGACUAUUCGACAACUUUCGACUUUUCCUGAUCUAACUCUGAUUUCUUUCUUUCUUGAUCUAAAUCAAUUCAAAUUUAAAUUAUUUAAAGACAUAUUCAUUCAAUUUCAUCCAAAAACACAUAAAUGAGUAUUAUUCACUUUAGCCCCUAACAUUUCACAUUUUUACAAUUUAGUCCCUAUUUCAAAACAACACAAAAUACACAAAAUUUCAAUAGACUCAUGCUUGACCGAAUCUUCCCUAUGUCCAUAGCAGUCCAUUAAUUAUAUUUAUUUCACAUUUUAACCCCUCAAUUUACAAAUUUCACAAUUUAAUCCUUAAUAAGCAUUUUUAUCAAAAAUCACUUAAUAAAACAUGAUAAUCUAACAUCAAAUAUUUAUUUUUUAUCAUCAAACAACAAAAAGCUUGAAUAUUCAUCAAUGGAAUUUCACAAAAUCACCAUCAAAUUCAAAAAUUAAAACUUGGGCUAGCUAGAAUACAAAGCAACGAUCUCAAAAACAUAGAAAUUAUCAAAAACGGAACAAAAAUCACAUACCAAUUGAAGCUCCAAGUGACCGAACCCUAAAUAGCCAUGGAUGACCUCUUUCCUUCUCAAUUUUCGGUAAAAACAAAGAUGAACACCACUAAUAUUUUGUUUUAUUUUAAUUUAUUAACAUUAAUUCAUAAAUUACUAUAUUAACCUUUAUUAAUUCAUUUAAAAUCCACUAACAUAUUUCCAUCCAUGUCCAUUUACUAAAAUUAUGGUCUAAUUACAUAAUAAGGGCUUUACAUUUAAUUAAUCAUAGCAAAUAAGCACUUAAACAAUUAGUAUGCCACUUUUGCAUUUUACGCGAUUAAGUCCUUUUAUCAAAUUAAACACUCAAUUAGUAAAAUUAAAUCACGAAAAUUUAAUACCAUCAAAUUCACAUGCUGUAAAUGUAACACCCCUAACCCGUAUCCGUCGUCAGAUUAGAGUUAUAAGGCAUUUCGAACAUAGCAUGAUAAAAUACAGACAUUGAACAUUCAAUGGACAUGAGUUCAAUUCAAAUUUUAUUCGAAUAAGUAAUAAUAUGAUAUGAACAUAAAUAUCUUUUCUAUUAUUUACCAUACAAAACCAUUUCUUAACAAAUCCAAACAUUAACCAAAUAUAUAUAUCCUUAUAUCCAUUAACACCAAAUAGUUAUUCAACAAUAUAACAAAUCACAAAUCAACUCUCAACCACUUGCAUAUUCGAAUUAAACAUAAUUUAAUACGCUCCAUAUGUAUAUUCAUUAUGUCCAAAUAUUUAAUUAGCACAAACAUAUUCUUAACCAACUCACGCAAAUUAAAAACUUGCAUCUUCCAAUUAAUUAAGCAAACCCAAAUUUAUUUUGUAUAUUAUUUACUAACUUUAGGUUCGUUAAAAAGGCAAUCAUAUAACAUUAUAUAUAAACCAAAACAUGUUUAUUUAUCUAUCAUAAUCUUAUGCAUAUAAACUAUUAAUGAGCCAUUUCUCAAAUAACAAUAUUUAUUUAUCAUGAACAAGCUAAGUAGUUCUUAUUCAAUCAUUUUAUCACAUUAUUUAUAACAUAUUUAUACUAUAUUAACAUUCAUCAAAUCACAUACUUAUCAAAAUAAGUAUAAUCACUAAAACCAAAUCAAGUUAACCUAUACUUCUAAAGUUGUAUUCACCCAACUAAAUUAAUUAUCAAGACUAUACAUACAACUCAUAUUAUGUAACAUAUAAAACGGCUAGAGAUAAGUUAUUAAAACUAACUUUAAUAUGUACAAUUAUAAACUCUAUUUUAAUGACUAUUAAAACCAUAUGCAUAGACACCAAAAUAGAUCAAACAAGUAAGCCAUUUUUCACAUGACUUUUGAUUACAUUAAUAAGUACUUAAACCAAAAUCAACCUUUCAACUAAACUAUACAUGCCAUAUACUCAAAAACAACUUAGUGAAAUACCAAAAGAAAUUGUCGAUAGUGUGAUAAACUUUGCUGACGAUCCCCGAGUACGUAGCAAUCUCAAAGAAAAAUCUAUAAAACAAAAACAAAUAAAAGACAAUACAAAGUAAGCUAUCUUGACUUAGUAAGUCUUGAGCAAAAUAUAAUAUAUUUUAUUGAAUGAAACAAUUUCUUAGAUAUUUUAAUUAAAGUCGAAUACAACAUAUAAGCAUUAUCAAAACAUUCAUUAAUCUUACUACAUAUCAGUCAUAACUAUUUCACAUUAAAUAAACUUUCAAUCUUGCACCUGUCAUUAGCAUAAUGCCGCAUAUAUUCGUCAAAUAUAUAUACACAUAUAAGUAUCCUUUUGUUAAAUACAAUCAACCAAAUGUACUUACUUAAUCAUCAGAUGAGUUUAGACAUAACGCAUACCUGAUUAUUAUACCUCACAAUCCCUUUUGACAUCGCAUUCACAUUAAAAAUUUCUAAGCACGUAUCUUUAAAUGACAUACCAACACGAAGUCUGUUAAGUCUAAAGCUUACUGAAGUACACCAGCAUGAAGCCUGCUAGACAAUAAGUCUGAAAUAAUUCACCGGCAUCAAGCCUACUAGACAUAAAGUCUGAAGUAAUUCACUGGCAUCAAGCCUGCUACACAUAAAGUCUGAAGUAAUUCACCGGCAUCAAGCCUGCUAGACAUAAAGUCUGAAAUAAUUCACCGGCAUCAAGCCUGCUAGACAUUAAGCCUGAAAACCAAUUAUAUUCCAAUAUUNNNNNNNNNNNNNNNNNNNNNNNNNNNNNNNNNNNNNNNNNNNNNNNNNNNNNNNNNNNNNNNNNNNNNNNNNNNNNNNNNNNNNNNNNNNNNNNNNNNNCCCCGAUCCAAAUUCGUUUUCUUCGUUUCUUGAUCUAAACAUAUUCAAAUUUAGCCUUUUUAAUUAUUAACACAUUCAAUUUAGUCCAAAAAUACAUAAAUGGGAAAAUUACACAAAAUACCAUUUUACCCCUAAUAUUUACAUUUUUUCAAUUUACUCCCUAUUGCAUAAAACACAAAAUACACAAAAUUUGCCCAUACCACAAAAGAGCGGAAUAUUCAUGGUUCUCAUACAAGUCCACGCAUUUCAUUUAUUUUACAUUUUAGUCCCCAUAAAUUUAAAUUUCACAAUUUAGCCCUAAAUAUUCAAUUUUACCAAAAAUUCAAAUACAAAACAUAUUAAUCUUUCACCUAUCUUUCAUAUUUCAUCAACAACUAACAAAAAGCUCAAGUAUUCAUCAAUGGUAAAACUCAAAAUCACCAUCAAAUUCUAAAAUUAAAACAUGGGCUAAAUAGUACAUGAAACAACGAUCACAAAAACAUAAAAAUCAUCAAAAAACGGGACCAAAAUGUACCUCAAUUAAACCAAGCAAUUGUCGAAACCUUAAAGGCCAUGGUUGAGUUCUUCCUAGCUUAGUUUCGGCUUUGGAGAAGAUGAAUGACACAAAUUUUUGACUUUAUUUUAAUUAUAAACCUUAAUUUGUUAAUUGACCAAAUUAACCUUAUUAUUAUGUAAUAUGCCACCCACUAACUAGUUUAUGGACUAAUUACUAUUCAACUCCUUCCACUUUAAAAGACAACCUCGUUUUAGUACUUUUAAAAUUUAACUUUUAAAUUUUUAUUUUACGCGAUUAAACCCUUUUUAUCAAAUUGAGCCUUCAAAUUUUCACACGAAAUUUUCACACGAAAUUUAAACACAUAUAACUUAACAUGCAAUAGACAUUAAAAACAUUAUAAAAAUAUUUUUCUGACUCGGAUUCUUGGUCCCGAAACCACUCUGUCCGAUUAGGGUCAAAAUUGGGUUGUUACAGUAAAUGCCAAAAAUAAUAUUAAAAUAAUUUUACAAUCUCAGAUUCGGGGUUUUGAAACCACUAUUCCGAUUUAGCUAAAAUCAGGUUGUUACAAUGGUGAUAGAAUUCAUCUUUGUUUUAGUUUAAUUAAAAUUUAUUUAAGUAAUUACAACUUUGCCUUUUUUAGUUUGACUUGAUAUUUUAGCUAAAAUAAAGCUAAAAUCGCCCACUCACCUCCAUAAUGGUGUAAUUACCAUUUAAGUAACUUCCUUUACUUAUCAAUUAUCAUCUUGAACCUUUAAUUAAUGGAACUCAACCUUUGCAGAUUUUACAAUUCAGUCAUUUUUACUUAAUUAACAAUCAAAAUUAUCAAAAUGAUAAAAUUUCUUAACCGAACUUUAAUACAACACUAAUGAACAUAUAAAUAUUAUCUAAUUAAUAUUUACGAACCCACACUAUGGAUUUGUGAUCCUGAAAUGACUAUUUUCGACACCAUUGAAAAACGGGUUGUUACACAUUGAUAGGCAUAACCUUUGUAAAAUUGAAGCCUUAGUUACACUUCAACCGGAGACCGUAUAACCACCGUCAAUCGGGUCCUUGAGUUGCAAUGCAAUCUAGCUGCUCGAUUGAUGGCUUCAUGCUCCCAUGCCAGAUGAAAUUCAUAAGUUACUCAGCUCCACGACACCACUGUAAAUUCAAACAUACCUUAAAGCUAUAACAAUGCUUAUCUCGAACAUGGGAAAAAAUAAAUCUAAAAGCUUCUAAUUUCAAAUUGCAAGAAAAAAUAAGAAAAAAAAAGUAAUUUAGCAAAGUGAAAAACUGCCCUAGUAGGACGUGUUUUUCUUUUCUCUCUAAAAACAACGUAGAUUGGUAAAUUUUAAGAAAAAUAGCAUAGUUUUUCAAAUAAAUUUUCCAGCAUAUUUGGGUAAAUUUGCCCACAAACGGAGAUGUAAAAUUUAAGUUAUUUUACAUUAUUUUAUAUUUUUUUAUAAAAGUAAUAUUUUAACGAUUCAAUAGUUAAUUUUUUAAGAUAUUUGUACUUGUCAUGCAUAUAAAAGUUUCUGAUAUUUCUAUCAUAUCAAUCUAAAAUAUUAUUUAUAUUAAUAUAUAUUUAAUAGUUAAAUUCUUUUUUUUACAUAAAAUAAGUAGUUAAGUUUUUUUAAUAUAUGCCAAACUUUACAUCUAUGAUCUAUAUAAAUGGAGCAUGAAAUAUGACGAUUGAAUUAUUAAAAUAAAAAGUUACGAAAAAGUGAAAUCAUUUAAAUUUUAUACCGAUAUAAGUAGAUCCCUCUAAAUCUUUUAAUUAUUUUAAAAAUGGAAAUUAGAUAAUAAACCCUUAAAAGUAUGCUAUAUUACUGUCAGCUUAGUCAUUAUCUAAAACAUUCAAAUGUAAUUGAAAUUUAAUAUGAAGGAUAUAUAAUGUGUGCAAAUUAAAUUUAAAUAUGUAUAUAUUUAUUUCAUGAAUAAUAUAGAUUUUACGAAAAAAAGUAAUCAUUUUAAAUUUUAUAUAUAUUUAUAAUCUGAUUAAUGUAUUUUUUAAGGGUAAAAUAUCUCAGCUGGUCAUCUAACUUUUAAGGUAUUUUCGUUUUGGUCACCAUAAAAAAUUCUUGUAAUUUCGCUACCUAACUUUUAGGACGAUUUCAUUUUAGUCACUCAAGUGUUAAAUCCUUAAUGGCGGUCGACUGUAUGUGCCAAAUUACGUCCACAGUAUGUUUGCAUUUUCAUUUUGGUCACCCAACUUUUAAGUCGCUUUCAUUUUUCACCAAAGAAUAUCAUUUUUUAAAGCUUUGAUCUAGGUAAAAAAAAAAUUAAGGAUUAAAGUGGAAAAGUGGUAAAAAUUAAAAUAGUGCAUUAAAAUUUUGUCAAAUCGUACUUGUUUAUCCUAUAACCGAAAAUUCUAAAAGAAUUUCAAUAUUGAAAUUUUAAAUUUCAAAACAUCAAAAUCAGUGUAAUGAAUUGUUGAUUUUUUAUUUAUCUUUUCAUAAUGUCAACUGAUUUAUUACUAUAGUGUUAAAAUUAAUUAAUUUAAUCUCCUUCUGGAUUUUAAGUUUUUAUUUUAUAUUUCCAAAUUAUCCUUAAUCAAAUCAACUCAUAUUUAAUAAUUGUCUGCGAAACUUAAAUUUCUUUUGAUUAUAUAAUCUCGAAUAUUACAUAACAUAAAAUUUUAAAUUUUAGAAGAGGAUUAAAUUAAUUAAUUUCAAUAUUAUAGUAACAAAUUGACUGAUACUACCAAGAGACGAGAAAUUUUCAACAAUUUAUUUAAUUGAUUUUGAUGUUUUAAAAUUUAAAAUUUUAAUAUUGAACAAAAAAAGGGGGGAAAUUUAGAACUUUCAUCAAGGGGUAAACAAUUACAAAUUAACAAUUUUUUAAUGGAUUAUUUUAGUUUUUAUCGUUUUUUCACUUUAAUCCUUAAUAUUUUUUUUACCUCUCAAUCAAUACUUAAAAAAAGAAAUUUUUUUGAGUAACCAAAAUGAAAUUGUAAACAUAAUGUGGCGUGUAUAAUCAACCGUCGUUAGAGAUUUAACACUUAGUUGAGUAAAAUGAAAGCGCUUUAAAAGUUGGGUGAUGAAAUUACAAAAAGUUCUCAUUGGGCAAAAUAAAAGCGCCCUAAAAAUUGAAAAUAAAUAGUUUAAUUUUAUUUUUAAAUAUACUUCCCCAUCAAAUUUGAAACAAUACUUAAUGCUGAAAGGCUAAACUAAGAUUAUGUUUAAUAAGUGUUGAAAAAAAUGUUUGAUAUUUUAUUUAAAAUUAAAUACUAAAUAGAAUUAUAUUAUUUGAUAAAGAAGUUAAAUAAAAUAAAAAUCAUUGAAUUUAUUCUCUAUUAGGUGAUAAGAAUGUUCUAUGUACAUAUAAUUUUUUGUAAAAGAAUCUAUCUAAUAAUUUUGGAAAUAUUAAUUUCCAAUUGAUAAAUUGUUUCAACAGUUAAUUAAAAGAUUGGAUUGAAGUAAUACUAUUAUUUUGAAGAUUAUUAAUAUAAUUUGAAAAUGUUUGAUGUAACCUAAAAUUGUAACUUUAAAAUAUAAUAAUAAAAGCAUAUAAUUAUCAUUGUGAAAUUUAUGUUGAAACAAAAAGAAGAGAUUGAAAACAUGCGGACAAAUUAAAAGCAAAUCGAUAUUUCAUGGAAAGAAUCUUAUUGCUGCACAAAUUGAUUAGAACAACACAUGAGAUGAGCAUCCCAACUUUACUUUUCACCUUUCUCCCCUUUUUUAAGCAAAUUAUAAAAUAAUUCAUCAUUAAGAUCAUUUAUUUAGUGAUGUAACAUCAUCAUUAAAUGAUGAUGUGUCAUCCCCAUCAUUCACAUCAUUUAAUUUUAACCUUUAGAUUAUAAACAAAAACACACAUAAUUUACUGUGCAAUAAGCUCUAAUUUCCUUUAUUCAUGAAAGAAAAGAUUAGAAAGGGGAUCCCACCAACGCCGCCGGUGGUCUCGAAAGAGAUUGUCGAGAACUGAAGUUCACAAACAACAACGAAAGCACUAAAAUUGAUAGCGAAGAAGGAAGCCCGGAAGCCAUCUCCCAUAACCAAAUCCCAUCAACCCAUACUAUUGUUGGAUCGCCGGCACCCCUAUAGCGCAGCGAAAAAAAUAAAAUUCGGCGAUCCUAACCAAGGAUUCAUGUGUGAGGAACGAAUCGGGGUGAUAAAGGUUACGAAAUUACCGAAUGUUUAUUCUGAGUAGAAAGCAGCGUCUCAACAACGUGUAGUCAGAUCUACUGUCGAACCAAACCGCAAUCUAUCGAGACCCCGACCUCUACGUAACCCACCCAGUUGACUACGAACGGAAGAAAUCAGAAAUCCCCAAAACAAUUUUGAGAGUGAUUUUUCUUUGACGGCUGCUAGACCCAAAACCAAGAAAAACGGGAUUCUUAUAUAUCUUUUUAUUUUAGGGUUUUUAGGAAUUAAAAAAAUAUAAUAAUAUUUUAAACCGAAAAUUAUAAUUACAUUAAUUAUAAUAUAAUUUCGGUAAACCAUAUAUUUAUUUGAAUUCAUAUGCUAACCAAAUUCAUGUCCUCAUUAUGCGUACAACAACAUUGUACAUAAUGUGUUGGAAAUUUGAUCACCGAAUUAAAUUAAUUCUAUAAUUAAUUUAAUUCAAGCGACCCCCAAAAACAAUACCAACUAUGGUUUAUUCCGUUCAUUUCAACUAUAGGGUGUGACCCUGUAGGUUCCUGUAACGUUAGCAGUAAUACUAGAACGAUUCCAAUGUUACAAACAAUGAGUGGCAUCUAACAAUGCAUCAUUGCUACUUAAGUCACAAGAGAUCAUGAUUCGACAUAACUUUUUUAUGAUUAACCUUUUAUGCAAUAAUCCUUAAGUCCUUUAUCUCUGGAUUGGACACAAGUCAUGGAAUAGUCACACUUGCAUAAUGCAUUCCAUGUUCUUUGAUAUCUUAAGCAAACUACGAUAUACAAAUAAGUAUGACAUCUCAUAUAAACUUAUUUGAGCAUGGCCAUGCAUUUCUAGUCUCACUUAAUCAAGUGGCCUAAGAUAUUACUCCCAUUAUGUAGGAGGGACUUAUUCUAUAUCGACCAACCAUAUCCCUUUACAUCGAUUAUGGUAUAUCCAACAUCAGCCUUUAUAGAACANNNNNNNNNNNNNNNNNNNNNNNNNNNNNNNNNNNNNNNNNNNNNNNNNNNNNNNNNNNNNNNNNNNNNNNNNNNNNNNNNNNNNNNNNNNNNNNNNNNNACGUUUGACUGUAUCAAAAUAUACUACUCACGAUGUUGGGAUUAUGAUGAUCUCAAGUCUGAGGAUCAUAUACAUAUUAAUCACUAUGAGUAAUGUCGUGACAAUUACAUAAUAAUCCAAGAAACAUACUCAUAAUGGGUCAGUCCAAUAUUUUGUUCUCUAACACAUAUAUUCAUGCAUCGAUUCUGACAUUCCAUAUCAAUGACAACUCUUUAUCAUCAGUCAACUACAUGUUAGUCUUAAUGCAUUAUCGUUGUCCUAUCCAACAAUAAUACUUGACUAAGGAUAUUUUAAGAAUAAUCAUAUUAUUCUUAGGACAUUAUUAUAAAACAGUUUAUUUAUACACACAGAAAAGAAACUGAAAUAAUAAUGGUAAUUCCUUAUAUUAAUAAACAUGAUAAAUCUAGUAUGUUAUUACAACCAUCUCAUGAUUGAUCUUUGGGCAUACUCUAACAACUAUCUGCUAACUAUCAAAACCCUUCACCACCACCACCCAUCAUCUUCAUUUCAUCCACUAACACCUUCACCACUACCAUGACCUUAUUCAUGACAAACCCAACAACAUCAUCCCUUCACCAAAUAAACCCAUGUCUAAAUCAAUCAAUAACCCAAGCAAACAACCAUUAAUAAGCCCCAAAGAUUAGACUUGCAACAAAGAAAAAGGGUAUAAAAGAGAGAAAAAUAGAGGAAAAAGAGAGGAGUUAGAUUCGGGUCAAGGGGUUGGAGGUACUCCGGCAACUUGCUUGCCAAUCCUAACAGUCAGGAAGGAGGUAUUGGUGAGAGGAGCACAUAUCAGAAAAUCGGGCUGAUUUAACGGCCGAUGACAGAGAUUCGAUCUUGGGUAGUUCAAAAGUUGGGGGUUUUUGAUAUGUUUUCGAAUGCUCUAAAUCGAGAGAAGGGUAGAGGAGGAAGAGAUCAUUUUGAUGGCCUCUGAUUGGAGCUCCUAUGGCGGGUUCGACGGCAGCAACUACAGUUGUAAAGGGAAGACGAGAGAAAAGAAAGGUGGGAGAGUGGGUUUUUUACCCAAAUAUAUUUUUAAAAAAAAAUUUAAAUACCUAAAUAGGUUGUCAACUAAAUUAAUUACCGAAAUAGUAUAUUUUCUUUAAUCGCGCCUAUUUGACAGGCGCGAAUGAAUUUUUUAUAUUAAUUUUUUAAAAAUAAAAUAUUAAUUUUUUAUUUUUAUUAAAAAUAUUUAAAUAUAUAUACAGGUAAAAAUACGGUCAAUGGGUCAAAAUAAGGGUAAAACACGGGUCGAGCCUGUCAGAUAGGCGCGACUAAUCGCGCCUGACAGGUAAGCGCGAAUGGUGCUAUUGCAACCCCCUCCCCCGCUCCAUCUGCUAGCAGCUGUUGCUGCUACUGCUAUCCCUUCAAUGGUAAAAAGUUGCAAAUGGGAGACCUUAUAAGCAUGGUUCCCCAAACCCCAUCCGGAAGAGAGAAAGGAGAAGAAAAAAGAAGAAGAGAAGAAGAAGAAGAAGAAAGAAAGAAAAAAAAGUAAUGUAUUAUUUUAGUAAAUAGUUUUGUUUAUAAUUUAAAGAGUUUAAAGAGUUUAUUAUUUUGUACGAAUGUAAUUUUUUUUAAUUUUUAUAAUUAUUUUAAAAUUAAUUUGUUAGUAAUUUAGGAUUAUGUUAUAAAUUUUUGUGUUUGUAAUUAUUUUAAAAUUAAUUUAUUAGUAAUUUAGGAUUAAGUUAUAAAUUGUUGUGUUUAGUUUAGUAUUUGAUGAGUUUAACAUAUAAGUUUAUAAAAAAAAUUAAAAAUCAUUUCAUUUUGAAAAUGAAUUUGGACAAAUGAUGUUUAAGCUCAUUUAAUUUUUUUAAGUUACUGUUAAGUAUUGGUAUGUUAAUAGUUGAUGUUAACUCAUUUAAUUUUUUUUUAUAUCAACUUGGAUAUCAAAUUGUCCAAGUUUAAUCAUAAUACCCACAAAUAUCAAUGUUCAAAGUUAAAUGCAUGUACAUGAAUUAAUUUUAUACAUGAACAUAUUGUUGGCAUAAGUAAUUUAAGGGAGAAAAAUCUGUUAUCAACCUUGACAGAUUGUGUAAACAUUUUUUCAAUCUAUAUUAGUUAUGUGUUUUGUGUUUUUUUAGUAAUGUAUUUUAAAAAUAAUAAUUUUAUAGUUAUUUUGUUAGUAAUUUAUGAUUAGGUUAUAUAAAUUGUUAGUGUUUAGUUUAGUGUUUUGUGAUUUUUAAUGUAAUUUUUAUAUAAUGUAAUUUUAUUUGAUUUUUUAUUUAUUUAACAAUUUUUAUUGAUUUAUUAAAAUGUUGAUUAAAUUUGUUGUUAUAUAAUUUUGUAGGUUGUUUGAAAUAAACUACUCGGGUAUGUAUCUAUUUCUAUUUUUAUUUUUUUAAUUCGUAUGUUUUUAUGUUUAAAUAGUUUAUAUUAACUUUAAUUAUAUUAUUAUUGUAAUCUAACAUAAAUUUUUUUUUAUUUUAGGUAAAUUAUGGGAAAUUAUUAGAUAUUUAUCGUGCUUUGUUUCUGAAAUUUGAAAUAAUUUAUUGUAUUUUUUAAACAAAUUAAAUGAAUUCAUUUUUUUAAUUACAGAUUUGCACCAAAUGGGUUCUUUGAUUAAUAAUAAUAAUCACAUAUCAAGUACUAUUAAUGAUAUGGUAAUAAAAUUUUUAUUUGAUACUCAUGUUAUUUGCUGAAUUAAAUUAUAUUGUAUUAACUAUUUUGCUAAUUUAAUAAUGUCAGGGUUCGUACCACGUAUUGAGGGGUCAUGUUAAUAGUGUAGGGUUUCUGCCAGAUGAAUGCCUAAUACCAUACUUAAAGUUAGUCGGUUUCUGCCAGAUGUUACACUACAGCUCGGGCUUCCCAUCGACGGGAAUGCGGUCACGGGCGUAAGUUCAAUCUCUAGGCCGGCUACCAUUUGCUAUGAAUUACUUGGACGCUCGCAAAGUGAGGGGAAAUUUACCAGUUUGAGAUUUUCAUGGCUGAAGGCCAAUUUUCAGCAUUUACUGAGUACUGCCAAUGAAUGGGAGGUGAUGGAGGCCGUUCGAGCUUACAUUAUGCACCUUAUAGGGGGUGUACUCAUGCCGGAUGCAAACGGCAGUACGGUCCACUUGAUGUACUUACCCCUAUUAUCCAAUUUGAAUAACACCCGUUCGUACAGUUGGGCGUCCGCAGUUUUAGCCAUGCUAUAUUGCGAACUUUGUCAGACGACAGAUCUUUCUACGACGGACAUAGGCGGAUGCCUCAUACUACUGCAAUCGUGGCACUUUACCGGAUGCCAUUCUUGCCAUCUAUUAGUCACCAAUCAUAUAUAUUUCCACUCGUUAAUAGGUGAUGAACUUUUACUCGUUAUAAGAAUUAGUUGACUUUUUUCAGAUUAUAUUGUUCUAACAAUUUAUUUUCGUAGAUGGAGUACUAAUUCGAGUAUCAGGAGGUCAUACACGAUUUCGAUAUACCGUCUGAUGAUUGAGAAUCAUGCUGGAGAGGGGGUAAGUUUUCCAAUAUAAACUUAAUUUUAUUAUUUUAUCUCACUCGACCCGCGUUAAUAUAACAAUGUUAUUACCUGUGAAGUUCAUUUGGAUGUCGUAUUCUGUUCCAGAAAUUAUGGUAGUUAUUCCCUCAUCUGCCCACGUUUACUCAAACCUAUGGUGCAUUAGCGCACCCGUUAUCAAUUUUUAGGUAGUGGAGUGGUAUCAUGGCAAUCAAGUACUCCGGCAGUUCAAUUGCAUACAGUAUAUCCCGAUUCUACUAGUACGAUUGGGGGAGAUCCAUGGGAUGAGCAGAAGGGGGAGGUAUGGAAAUGAUUGGGGAGAAUUGCAUGAAGAAUAUAUUACGAUGUGGAACAAUCGAUUGGGGAGGGUACCUCAGAUGGAUCGUGCUUUGGAUUUGCAGCCCUCGUUAGAGUACAUACAAUGGUACUGUGAGAUAGGGAAACCAUUUUUGUUUGGUGGGUAGUCGAUGGUAGUCCCUCCGCAUAUGACACGAAUUGGGCAACCCUUCUAGAUUCUCAUUAUGCACCUGAGCCAGAGCCGGAGGCAGAGACGGAACUACAUUCUAGGGUUAGUUAUUAUCAUCCAGAUUUAGGGAGCGAUGACUAUUUCACGGGCUCGUAUCCACUGCCGUACUCCACUCCUCCCGGCUCAAGUUCAUCGAUGGUAUUUGAGACAUAUGGUUUUUCAUCUAUGUUUCGCACACACCUACAUACGAAUGAUGAGAACGUUGAUCACCAUAAUCGCCCGCAACGUGAACGUCGAGCUCCAUAAAAAUAUACCCCUAGAACCAUACUAUCAAGCCAUCAAUUUUAGGGGGUUUUGUAAUAUAAAUAACUUCAUAUUUAAGUAAUGAAUUUUUUUGGUAUUUUAUUUAUCAAUUUAAUUUUAUUUUCAAUUUAAAUAGUCAACACUGUAUUUAUAUAAUGACUUUUUUGCCAUCUUAUUUAUCAAUUUUAUGGUUUUUUUUAUUUUUCAAUUUCAAUAAAUAAACUUUAUACUAACUAUGUAAGUCAAAUUAGAUUAACUGCAACAAAAUGUAAACAAAUUUGUGAUUAAAUCCUCUCAACAUGUAAUGAAUUACAUCUUAAUUUCUACCCGAUUGAGACGAUUGUCCAACAUGAUAGUUUCAGAGCAGGCAUUUACUCCAAUUAUAACCGUCUAAUCUGCAUACGCCACACAGCUUCGCAUUGGAUUUCUCCCUAAUGUCCAUUUCGUUAUGGAUUCUGGAUGAUUGCGGACGACCUUUCUAGUUCCUACGCAACCCUUUAUCUGGGACAAGCUCGAAGGUCGUUAGAGGUACCUCCCAAGUAGAUAGGUCAGGAAGCACGGAGAACUCGUUCUCCCAUACACGUAACGUAUGUUUGAUGGUAUGCACUCCAUCGAUAAAUUAUUCUUCAAUGAGUGAGACUUUACCACAAACUGCCACGACAUGUGCACAUGGAUAAUGAAGUGUUUGAAACCUCCUACAGUCGUACCGUCUGUUCGGAGAUCAACUCCGUAGGACCUAGGUGGUAUACCGAGUCAACAACCAAUGGUCUCUGUAACUCAAAAUGUUUCAUUACGUUGUGAAUAUAUUUCUACUGUCAUCGACCUCGCCAUCCGACGGUUUGCAAUCACUGCAUCCCUAACAUUUUCGACAAACACGUGUCCCGCCUCCAUCUGGUUGACUUGUUGCUGACCCAUUCUUGGCAUUAAGGUAGUCAACCUGUAGAACGUAGCCGAGAAGACAGAUGAAAUCGGAAGAUGUUGUGUUUUUAACAACACAGCGUUGAUCCCCUCCACCAAGUUUGUGGUCAUUUGACCAUAACAAAAGCCCUCGUCAAAACUUUGAGUCCAUUGCCACGGCUUUAUAGUACCCAACCACUGUCGGAAAGAUGUGUUCGUUUGACCCUCCAUGUCACUCUCAAGUCGGGCUAUUCUUUGGCGAAAAAUGUGUAGCUCUAGCUCGUGCGCUGCAUAUAUAUAAAGAAAAUGUAAGUUACAGUAUUGCUUUAAAUCAUUAAAACUUAUAUUGAAAAGAUAAGGUAAUUAUUUACCCAUUUUCACAACUUGUCUCUUCCAGUUUACAUUCUUAUAAUCUCGCUGAAAGUUAGCCCCGAUGUGCCAGAUGCAGUAAACGGAUCUCCAUGGUACACCGGAACGCCUAAUGGCUGCAAUUAAUCAUUUUCCUCUAUCGAAGAUGAUACAAAUAUUAUCGUUGCUAAUAACAUACCUCCGUAGGUUGGUAAAGAAGAAUUCCAACGAUUCUAUGUUCUCCUUAUCGAUAAUGGCAAAUGCUAUCGGGAGUACGUUCCUGUUGUCGUCUUGAGCAACCGCAAGAAGUAAGAUUUGUGUGUAUUUUCCAUAUAGCCAGGUUCCAUCUACUUGUACAAACGGUUUGCAGUGGAAAAAUGCGCGCACACAUGAUCAAACGUCCAGAACAUUCGAUGGAAAAUUCUUUUUCUCGAUUGUAGUUGGUCAUCCGGCCCGUAAUAAGGUCGUGUCUGCAACUCAAUAACAGUCCCCUGCACGUGUUCCCUCAUAGCGGCUAUCCAUCCCUGUAACUCAUUGUACGAUACAUCGAAAUCUCUGUACAAUUGUUCUAUUGCCAUCUGUUUAGCUAUCCAUGCCUUCCGGUAUGAUACUCGAUACUGGAAUCGUACCUGUAUUUCGAUAAUCAGUACCGAAACUUUAAUGGUCGGCAUAUCUUUCACCAUUGGCAUGAUGCACGUACAGAUAGUUUUGGAGUCAAGUUUUCGAUGAUCUUCUGUCAUACGUGUUGAAGUACAUGUGUGAGGCCCAACAAAUUUUUGUAUAUCCCACAUCUGCGACUUCUGGAUAAAUGCAACUCGUAUCCGCCAAUUGUAAGCUUCUGCCGACCUCCAACACUCUCUAAUAUAUAAUGUUGGUUUAGACACGACAACUUUGUAGUCUGCUGAUAUAUUCAUGCUAUACCGCUUAAUGGCAAAUACAUAUUCUUCCUUCCUUUUGAAUCUCUGGCCUACGAACAACUCUUCAAUAUUAGAAUAUACGGCCAUCCAGUGAGCAGGUAGUAUUUUAGGGUACUCUGAAAACUCGACUGCCCGCGUCACAUUGAGGUCUAUCCGAGACAUGUGUGCCCCAGGAUUAUUGUGUAUCAUAAUAUGACGAAUCUGGUUUCCGACUGAAGACGCGUUAACAUUUUCAUCCUCAUUCACGCCUUCGUUGUCAAUAUCAUCUGGGACCUCGUCCACAUCUGGAUCACUCUCACUAUCGACUUCGUGAUCAGCAGGAUCACUACUAUAGUAUACAUCAUCACCAACCACAUCAGUCUCAGGUGUAGCAUUAAGAUCAAUAUCGAUCCCGUGUAUAGUUGAUAGACUAUCAACAUACGAUAUCAGAACCACCAUAAACGGCUCUUGAACUCCAUCUUCUUCACCUAAUGGAGUGGGAUCUUCAGUUGCCUCCACACCAGCUAACUCAGCGAAUAACUGAAUCGGUGCAUUUUGGUUGCUCCGAGUUCCACAAUAAAGAGCGACCAUUGUCUUCACGUCUUCAUCGUCUACAAGUUCCAUUUCGGUAAAUUUUAUUGGAUUCGUCGAAACUGGAACCUUGUAGAAAAGUUUUGAUAUCCUUUUCCCACAACGUCUAUAAAUUUUUUCACUAAUUUUUUCCUUCAUAUCAUCAAACUAGAUAUUUCUAUUAAAUCUCAUUGCUACUUGUUUGCGACAUUCAAAUAUACAUUCCACGGUUGUUGUCAAAAUUUCUCCAUCGAAAUAAACGCAUACAAAAAACUGGUUCUCCAUCUUCAAUACUAGAUCUGUUAAAGAAACUUCAAAAUUCUUAAAACAGUUUUGAAAUGCAAAAAAAUUACAUAAAAUUUUUAAUGCAAAUUUUUUCAUUCAGAAGCUAACAAAAUUAAUAACCUAACAAAAUAACUUUCAAGUAAUAAAAUUACUAACAAGACUCAACAUUCUAUUUAAAAAGAAAUAAACCAAAAUACCUUAUCAUUUUUCUUGUUUUCCUUUUUUUUCUUCUCCCUAUCUUCUUAUUUCCAUUCUGCUAAAUUUUGUGUCUGUUCCUCUGCUAAAUUUUAUGUCUGUGCUCAUUUGAUUUUCGGGGGUAUAUAUAGGGAAAAAAAUAAGCAGCAGUGGGCUCCACCAUUCGCGCCUCUGAGAUAGGCUCAACUAGUCGCGCCUCUGAGAUAGGCUCAACUAGUCGCGCCUAUCAAAUAGCCGCAACCUGUAUUUCAUAUCUAUACCCGAGUUAUAUACUGAUUCGGGAGAAAAAUUAAUAAUAUUUUAUUAAACGAAAAAAAAUAAUAUAAAAAAUUGAUUCGCGCUUGUCAAAUAGGCGCGAUUAAAGAAAAUAUAUCAUUUCGAUAAUUAAUAUAACUGACAACCUAUUUAGAUAUUUAAAUUUUUUUUAAAUAUAUUUGGGUAAAAAACCCUUGGAGAGUCGAGAGUAAUGAGAAGCAAUAGAAAGACUUAGAGAGAAAAAAAGGGGAAUAGAGUAAUUUUUUUUAAAUGUUAAAAAACAUGGUAAAUUAUGUGGUGAUGACGUGGCUAAUACAUCAACCUUUAGUGGUCUAAUUUGUGUCACAUAUAAGAUCACUAACUUCAAAUAAGGACAGAGUAAUUAAAAUGUUAGUAGUCAAAUAAGAUGGGGAUGUAAAUCUCAGUGCUAUGAGAGGAUACGAAUAGGUGUAAACCCAAUUAGUCGGAAGGGUGAACAAUUGGUCCUUAGCUUCCAAUACUUGGUUCUUUUGGACUUGGACCUUUCUCUCCGUUAAGGUGACAAUUAUUGAAAAUUCCGAUAAUAAGUACCGUAUACGGAUCAUAGACUUCCAAGUGUAUUGUUCAUUACAUUUUGGAGAAAAGCUGUCUAACUGCAGUUCUGGUCGAUACCCAUUUAGGUCCGUAUUUGGCCACACAAUAAGCGUCAGUAGUUUCACGUCCAACUCUUGACUUCAUUGGAACCAAAACACUGGCACCUACAAUUCCCAACUCCAACACACCAAGUGCUGGUGGCCACAGCCCGUUAAAUGUCGCUCAGUAAUCGCUGCUGCAAUCAAAGGAUCCAUCGAAUACAUGAUAGCCACCAUCCAAAGAUAUUCUCACGUUAAGCUUACUAGCAAACUCUAGCUCCUGCACCACAUCUCCACCUCCCUCUAGAUUGUACCAUUUUGCACCAACUGGUUCAGGCAGUCACCUUAUGUAGACCUCGGAUAGAUGAAUCAUGCACCUUCCGAGGCUAAUGGCUAAUUUCCUCAUUGUUUUUAUCUACCACGGUCAGAACCAAAUGAUCAUAGAAGGGCUCUGCUGCAACAAACAUCAAAUCUUCGUUCCAUCUAGGAUUCAAUGACUUGUCUGCCGAAACUCUAGUCCUCAACUUCACAUUCCCAAGAGUUCCCUUGACAUAAACCUCCGAAUUACGAUUCUUGUCUCCAGGCACUACCAAAUCCUGUGCUUCAAUUAUAUUGACUCUAAGAUACCAAAGUCUAGGUGAAAGGUAGACCUUGGAACAAGUAUUCAUAAUGCUGUCACCAGUCCAGUAACAGUGGCUAUAUAUGAAUGCCAUGCAUCAAUGAACACUUCAUCAGCUUGUCCAUGUCUUUGUCCUCCAAUUUAUACCACUCUAGGGCAAGUGGACUAUCCAGCGGAACUUGAGUGGGAAUGUCAGACACGUUAAUCGCAAUCUUACCUAUAAACUCAUUGUUUACAAAUUCCUUUCCUUUUCUCUCACGGUGAUCUUCACAGAUAACGACUGAAUUCGAUCUUCUGUGAAGGCAAACACUUGGUUCCAUUCUGGGUUUGGUUUAUUCAUCUCCAAGUACUAGGUGCUCCCCUUACAGUUUCCAAUCUUCAUUUCAACAAACGGGUGACAAGCAUCACCACCGGCGUUGCUCUUCCCCCACCAAUUUUUGGCUUGGUCUCCUUCAAGGAAAAACCUUCCUUCUCUUCUGCCGGCAUCCUGCAGUUAUUACCAUUUGCUGUAGGAUUGCGCCAUAAGCGUUUUGAAUAAGCACACACACAUAUAUAUAUUAUAAUUUGCAGUAUUCAUUAAUGUUUUGAAUCGUUACUUGUAUAAAUUGAGUAGCUUUUUAUAACAUAAGAAUCGAAAGAAAAAAUAAUCUAUAAUUUUGGCGAUGAAAGAACUGCUUUAAAACUAUGUAACCCUAAAGCCUACAGAAUAUAAAAAACAACCAAAAGAUCAUAUGAUUAAAAACACAAAUAAUUGUAUACUAAUAUUGUAAAAGAACAAGAGCCCAAGAACACAAAGGAAAUUGAUUUACCUGACAAAAAAUAGAAAAGAAGCAAAAGUUGAAGGAGGCAAACCACAAAUUAAGCUUAUGGUUUUUCUUUUUCUAACAUAAUCAUAAUGUAAGAUACAAAUAUAUAGCUACAAAGGCGUUAAAUAGAUUUGGAACCUGUUUUUAAAAAAGAAGUUAGUGAAAAAAAAACUCUGUUUCAUCCUCACUUGAAAAAAUCUCUAGCGAUUGAGAUUAAAAAUUGGCAUGGAUGGAUGCAGCAAAUCAAGCAAAAAUAUCCUCAGUAAGUAAUGAUUGUUCAAAAUCACCAGAAUUUGUAGAGGGCACUUGAAGCUGUUCAUAGUUGAGCUGUCUUGAAGCUUCAUACACAGCAAUACCAACACUCACAGAGAGAUUCAGACAUCUAACAUAAGUCUCAACCAUUGGAAUCCGUAUGGUUCCACCACCAAAGGUUUCACUUUUGCAAUCUAACAACACAUCAGGAGGCAGGCCACAAGUUUCUGAGCCGAAUAUCAAAUAAUCACCUUUUCUAUACGAAAAGUCCUGCAACACACAAUGUCAAGUUAUAAUUAAAACUAACCCUUAGGAUGCAAAAUUAACUUUAUCAUAGUCAUUGGUCGCCUAAGAGCAUAAUUUAACCGGAGCAGUCCAUCUACUAUAAACAUGAGCAAUUCAGCUUUAAAGUAAAUGGGUAAAAUUUCAAAUGAAAAUAACCUUAAAUGGUUAAAAAUGCUUAUUUUCAUGUUUUGACACAAAAUAGAAAAAAACCCAAAAUUCUAACAUUUCUUAAGACAAGACAACUACUAAAUUGCUUAAUUAUUUUCAUGUCACUUAAAACACAAUAAAUCAGCAAUUUUAAUGUUCAAAAUUACAAUUGCUUACGAUUUUCCUAUUUGCUUUAAAAUUAAAUGUACAAGAACUAGGUUCCUCACUUUCAUAGUAGAGUGACUGAUUUUGCUCCUAAGCCUAUAGUGCAGAGACCAGCUAGUUAGUUAAGUUUAACCUAAAUUUUCCGACUCUCCUUUUAUCUCGUCAAAAAGGUAGAGAAACAAAGUCAGUGUCAUAUUUUCACAUUCAUUAUCUAGCAGUUGCAGUGAAUUCAAUGAUUUUCUAGUUACAGAAAAUUGUCAUUUGGUAAUGAUAAUCAAAGUUAGAUCAGUUUAUUCCAAGUCAUGAAAGAUUGGAACACUCGUUGCAACCAAGAACAGACUAGCCCUUGUUUGAAUUCAUUGACAACCAAUGCCUCUGCAAGAUUCCAAUGACUUAUAAUAAGCACCAAUAUAGUACUUAGAUGGCUGUCGUCCAACAUAGGAUAAAUGCAUAGAUAGAUCAAAUUUAGCACUUUGAUUGACCUCUUUACAAGAUAUUUAAACGAGGGCCAUAAAAGAUUUAGAGACUCUAGGCUGAAUGUUUAUCAGGAAACUUAAUAGUAUCUUAAAGAUUGCAACCUAAGUGCUAGCAAUUAACAGUAACAUAAAAUAUAGGGUGGAAAAGAACAUCAAGUGAUGAUAGCAAGACAGAAAAAAAAGAUAAUUCUAGCAUUUCAAAUGGUCAUAUCAUAGAGUAUAAAAAGAAAAGAAAGCAUACUGAAUGAAUUGCUGUUCCUCUUUUAGUAAAAGCCAGCAAACGCUUAUCCCCUUCCUUUAUCAUAGGAACAAAUAUAUUUGGAGGAAAUUAAUGACAAAAGAUACAGAACAUUUCUAAUCCAUUGUUGGGACAGGAAGAGAAAAACCUGUUGCUUGAAAUAGUUUUGAAACUCUGCCCAUGAGCCAUGUACUCUAACAACAACAUAUCUGACAUCAAGUUAUUGGUGAAAACAGGAGAGCAGGAGAUAUUUCAGAGUUGGAAGGAAAAUGAAGUGGAUCAAAUGCGAUUUGGGUCAAUCUUUGUAAACUAUGCUAAAUGGGAAGCCUUUGAGGCUAUAAUUUAUAUAUGAAAACUUGUUUGUGAGGAUAGAAAAAUAUAUGCCAAACUGUACUAUGAACUGAUGAACAAUUAGGAAGUGCCCAAUUCGAAUAGAAUCUUAAAUUGAAAAUAGAGAGAAAGGGUGUCCAUGCAUUUCAUUCAACUGGAAAAAGGGUAUGUAGAGAACACAAAUAUGGGAGGAUACGGCCAGUAAUCCAGUCCAGCACGUUUUAAUUUAGUAUCAUCCACUUUAAAUCCUAAUGGCUGAAAAAAUACAACAGCAGAAGCAUCUUAAAUAAAAGGUCAAGGUUGGCAAAAAUAAGAAAAGUAAAACAAAAAAGAGAGAAGAGAAGAGGAAAAGAUACCCCAACAAGGUGAAGGGCAACAGCUGAGGCAGCGCAUGUUCUUGCAAUGCAACCUGCAUUUCCAGGAAUCUGAAGGGAUGGGCAAGGGCAGAAAAGGGAAAACAAUUAAGUAGAGGUGCUUGUAUAUGAGCUAUAACAUGUUAAAGAUGAAAAAUACAGUAGAUACCUGAGGAGAAACUAAGACGACUUGAAGCAAUUUUUGUUGGGGGUCAGGGGCAGGCAGAGAGUUGUUCCCAUUUCCUGUUUCAACUUCAGCAACAGCCAAGCCCACAAAGAAAGAAGAUUAAGAAAGGCAGUGAACUUAAUUAAUUAAGAACAAAAAACAAGCAUAUAUACAUAUAUCAGUGGAGAGAGAAAACGGUCUUACUCUUAGUCUUAGUGUGAGUGUCAGCCCUGGUAUUAGAGAAAGAAGAGAGGUGUGGUAUGCGUAGGGAAGAAGGGCGAAAGUUUGGGAAUAAAGAAAGAGAAGAAGUAUCGUUAAUAUGUCUUAGGCUUUGAAGAAGAUGGGAUUGGGAAUAAUAUGAGACUGCUCUCAUUCUUGCUCUUAUGCUCAAAAGAGAGACAGAUACCAAUACAGAUAAAAUGCUACACCUAUUGGGUUUGACCUUUCUCUCUCUCUGGGUGGGAUCACUGGAUAACUUCACUAAUACAUAUUACUUACUAAUUACUAUCACAAAGUAAAUAACCCAGUUUCUCUUCUUCUUUUUCUCUUUAACCCUCUUGGCCUUGGCCUGCUACCUUUCCUAAUGUCCUCCUUCCUUUAUAAAAAUAAAAAAUAAAAUAAAGGGUUGGAAAUGAAGGCUGGGUGGCUCAGAUCAGAACGACGAUACCCUCUGCCUCUUCCACUCAAUCUUAACCAGAUACAGGUCUCCUUUCUUUUCUUUUUUCUUUGCUCAAUCGAGAAAUUUAAGAUCAUUUUUUUUAUGGGUUAGAUUUUGAGUAAAUAUUUUUCUCGACACCCAAUGUUAUAAAACAAUAUUAUAUUAAUUAUAUAUUAAAUAAUAUUUAUAUUAAAUUAUUAAUCUAAUAAUAAUUAAAUUUAUUGUACAAAAUCUAAAAAAUUUAUAAUUUAUAUUUAAUACAUUAAAAUAUUUAUUAUAUUUAUUUUAGUUUUUUAAUAUAAUAAAACAUUUAAUAUAAAUUUAAUUAUAAGUAUUUUUAAUGUGUUAAAAAAAUUAUUUUAAUCUUUGUUAAGAUAAUGAAUUAAUAUUUCUUUUUCAUCUAAAUUUUAUUUUGUUAAAUCUUUAUUUUGAGUUAGAUAGUGCUGAUUAGAGGUGCUCAUGGGCCGGUUCGGGCCGGACCCAUAAAAAAUUUUGGCCCGGGUUCUAGGCCCUGGCCCAGCCCGGCCCGAAAUAUGGGCCUAAGAUUUUGCCCAGGCCUGGCCCGGGAAAAAAUCAUAAGCCCGACCCGGCCCGGCCCAUUUUUAUUUUAAAAAUUUUAAAAAAUUAAAAAAAGUAUUUUUAAUAUAUUUUUAAAAUAUUUUAAAAUUAAAAAAAUUAAAAAAGUAUUUUUAAAAUAUUUUAAAAUUAAAAAAUUUAAAAAAGUAUUUUAAAAUUUAAAAAAAUUAAAAAAGUAUGUAAAAAAUAUUUUAAAAUUAAAAAAUAUAUAUUUAUUAAAUCGGGCCGGGCCGGGGCCGAAAAAGUUGUGCCCGAGGCCCGGCCCAUUUUCUAAACGGGCCUCAUGCCGGGCCGGGCCGGGCCUGGCCGCCCGGCCCAUGAGCACCUCUAGUGCUGAUUGACUUUAUUUUACUAUUGUCAUGGUACUAAUUUAAGUUAUCUACUUUAAAAUAAAUCGUAUUGAUAACGACUCCUUAACUAAUUUUCCCAUUCAUUCAUUUUAGAAUACCAAAUGAUUUCUUUUUCUUUUAACUAAGGUAUUAUAUUUUUAAAAAAAUUAAAUAUGAAUAAAUUGGGUCGGACCGAAUUUGUUUUUUCGAGCGAAUUUAAAAAAAAAAAAAGUAAAUCUAGUUUUUAGGCUACCCUGACUAAAAAAAAUUAAUCUAUAUACUUUAUAUAAACCUCACUCCAACCCAACCCAACCCAACCCAACCCAAUCCAUCAGCGGCUAGAUCGACUGCGCCCCUUUUAUCCCUUUGUUUUAUUUUCUUAGUUCAGUUUAUCUGGAUUAAGAAUGCUUUUAGUUGUCUUAUUCGGGCGUAUCGGAUGCUACCCAUGCUUCAUAUCUCUGCUGUUAAUUUACGAAGAAUUAUGUCCAGCUAAAUGCUAAUGGUUUAUCUGCCCUUUGGGUUUUUGGAUGGAGAAAAGUCAAAUUGAAGUGUUGUUUAUCUGACUGAUCAGACACUGGUUAUCCUCGAGAACUGGGAAUUUAUCGAUGUGCCUCUUUAGUUCUCAAUUCUGCUUUUGCCAAAUGUGUGUAUGUUUUAUUUGAAGGGUGAAACAUUUUGUGUAAAUGUAAUACCAUCUCUUACUCUUAUUAUAAAUUCAAACCUUAAGACCUACCGCUGCAAUAUCUGAAUAGCUCAGAGCCUUUACUUAUCCAGCAAGUGUUGUUGGCUCUUUCCCCAUGGAGAAAGGAGUGCCAUCUAGCCUUUUUGUUAACGAUGGUUCCUUUAUGGAGAGGUUUAAACAGCUUCAACAACAGAAGGAUGUAAAAGACAAGGCUGCAGCUUUAGAAGAAUCUAAACCCCCCAAAUUUGUAAAAGGGUCUUCAGCUUCCAAACCUGCCAUUGCCCCUAACAAAAUAGCCAUGGAAUGUAAGUCCAGUGAUUCACAUAAGACCACCCAAAUUUCUUCCGGAGGCAAACUUGCAUUCAGCUUGAAGCAGAAACCAAAGCUCGUGGCACCUCCUCUCAAGUUGGCUGCAGAUGAUGAGGAGGAGGAGGACCAAGCUGCAGGGAAGUUUUCAGAUGACAGACCGCUUAAACGGAAAAAGUUGGGUCUACCAGAUGCCUCUGGACAAGGAUAAAAAAAGUGGAUGGUGGUAAUUUCUGCUUUUAUCUAUCUUGUUGUGUUGCUUUUUAUGACUUGGGUAGUCCUUUGGGAGUUUACAUGCUUAGGCUGCAUGUCUGAUACGAUGCCAAGUUUGCAACUAGAAUGAGUUCGUGAAUAUUUGAAUUACUAAUCUAUAUUUGUUCUCAUUAAGAAACGUUUUAUCGGUGUCUGAGUUAAAUAGUCCCCUUAAUUAACUGCUAUGAUUUAUGAAGUCAUCUGGCGGUAAGUCUUCUCUGAACUGAAAGUGGUUGAGGAAGAGAGCAAAAUUUCUUGAAUAUUUCUCAUCUCGUGAAUGCAUCUUAUGCCUUAAGUACCAAACAACAUUGGUGGAAAGAAUGUUCAACGAAAGAUUUGGAAUAUGUCGCCUGCCUGCUACAAGAGUAAUUUGCAUUCUCUUCUUCAUUCUCUUGGUAUUAAUCAGUUUUAUAAGUGACGUGCAGCACCACCUUCCCCAACCGAUCCUAUUGUGAAGAAAGUUGCAGACAAACUAGCAAGUUUUGUUGCAAAAAUGGAUGGCGGUUUGAACAUGUUACACGUCAGAAAAACCCUGGAGACACCCUUCAAGUAGGUGCACUUUUGCAUCAUUUUUUGGCUCAUUAUGCUCUGUGCCUACGUGUAUGAAUGCAUUCUAUUUGUUCCUUUCUGCUUCCCUUUUUGGUUCCUAUGUUUUGUGUAUUUAAUAUUGUGGUCUCCAGGUUCCUUUUCGACAAGCUGUUCUGAUUACAAAUACUAUGAAUACCGGCUUGCUGAAGAGGAAAAAGCUCUUUUACAGAACAAGGAAUCGCAAAGUGGUAUUAUUGUCUUUCUCCUGCCUUGGUCAUAAGGUUAGGUAGCAACACUUUGAGGUUGGCUGCUUGGAGAUCUAAAAGCAUUUUUUUGGGUUCUCUUUGAAGUGAAAAGUUUCUUUUGCCUUGUUUGCCUUGUUCUUCACUUAUUCUGUUUCUACGCCAGAUAAAAUAGAUAGAGGCAUGAACAAUUAGGCUAGGAAAUGACUUCACAGAUCUUAACAAAUAUCAGAUUGUUGAAUAUCUAAAAGGGAUAUUUUUCAUCCUUCUGUACUGACUUGAUAAAUGCUUUAUCUAGGUGGUACUGGCAUUUCAGCUUCAAAGUCUAAGAGCAGCUCCUGUAGAUCAGUUCUGCAGCAAUCAAGCUAUCGAACGCCUGCCUCUGCUUUGUAUGAGAACAAUGAGGAGCCUAGAUCUUCUGUGACAUCAGUAGGAAAAUCAAGUAAAUAAUGCAUGAGAUACUGCUGUUAGGUUUUUUAAGUGAUACAUCAUCACCUUAAUUUGGGAAUGGACAAUUUUGUUUGCCUGAUGUUAUAUAUACAUUCAUUUCUAAGUUGCAGGUCCAUCCAGUGCACCACCAGCCGCAGAUCCAAUAACAAUGAUGGAGUUUUACAUGAAGAAGGCUGCUGAGGAAGAGAAGAUGAGACUGCCUAAGCAGCCUAAAGAUGAGAUGCUGCCACCUCCUCCUCUUCAAGGUGAAUUUUAUCCCUGAUUGAAGUGUAUUCUUUGUUUUGCUCCUUAGACACAUUGCUUUUAUUUUGCUGGCUUAGCAGAUGCUCCUAUUAAGAAAGGUCAUCACAUGGGUGAUUAUAUCCCACCCAAAUAGCUUGAAAAGUUCUUGGCUGCCUGCAAUGAUGCUGCCGCAUGAAAGACUGCUAGGGAAACUGCGGAGAAGGCAAAGAUUCAAGCUGAUAAUGUUGGGCAUAAACUCUUAUCAAAAUAGGUUGGAAAGAAGGUGCUUUUUUUUAUCUUUACUCUCUCUUGUAUGCUUGUUCAGCCUGUGUUAACCCACAGUUUUGAAUUCUGUUUUAAAUACUGGUUUAAAUAAUGGAUUAUGGUAAUUGAGUUAUGACAAAUUGCCAAAGAUGAAUGAUGUAAGUGUUUGUGGAAAUUAUCAUUAGCUUAGCAGAGGUGACCUUGACCUUAUGCUCUUUCUGCAAAUCUGCAAUGAUUUAGUCCUUGGACUACUGCUGCCAACAAAAGAGAUACCUUUUGUUAUGAGGUGCAUUCAUUUUUCCCUUUGUGCAUGGUUUUCAGGGGAGGGAUUAGGAAGCUCUAAAAAUGGUAUUUCAGAUCCAAUAAUGGCUGGUGAUGUAAAGAUGUGCUCAUCAUCCAGGAGAGGUGACUCCAUAUGAUGAUAUAUACGAGCAGUAUAAGAAGCGGAUGAUGCUUGGUUAUCGAUAUAGACCAAAUUCACUGGUAUUUGCUUCUUAUUUGUUUUUCAUUAUAAUUAAAAAGAUUUGAUCUAACCUAUGGUGCAAUUCCUACUAUCAUGGCUGUCUAACAGAGAGUUAAUGAGGAGGCAUAUUUGGCUAAGGCUUGAUGUAAUAAUAAUUUUGGCCUGUUUUAUGCAGAACAAUCCUCGAAAAUCAUACUAUUACUUCAUGGAACCACUGGGAGGCUCAAGGCGGCUGUGUUUCAAUAGAAAGAAAGCAUAUGCUCAACUCGGUAGUUGUUUCUUCCUUUUUUAAGAAAAGGUUGCCAUUUGAUUAGGGCGGGGUCUUUGAUUUGCUUAUUUGAACACAUAAAAGCACAUCUCAUUAUCCCAAAAUUGUCAUUAGCAGAUUCUUUGUUCAUUUGAAAAAGUCUGUCUCAAUGGGAAAAACGUUUGUUAAUUUUACGUAGGAAUUUUUUUCCUCAAUACUAAUUCCAUCAAAUGAUAUAUGUAAUUGCCCAUUUUUGUCCGGGCCCAACGAAAUAAACCAAAAAUAAACAAAAGACCACAGUCCAUUACAGCCCAAAUUUCCUAUGGCCCAAUAACAGAAACCCUAGCCCAAAUGCAAAACAAACUUUCAGCAAAAAAAUCCCUAGCUGCCGCUGGCCGCCGCUCCUGCCUCUGCCCAGCCCCAGCGCCGCACGCCUCCUGCGCACGCCACCGCAGCUGCUCACCUAUCGUCGGCCCUCCACGCGCGUCAGAUCACCUGCCAGAGAGAGCCACCCGCAACAGCAGAAACAAAAAACAACAAACAAAUAGCAAAACGACAAAAAAAUUAUGAUCAGAGAGUUUGUAAUCAGGCUAUAAAAGCCCUAAUCUGUGACUUAUGUUUUUUUUACGCACAUUAGAAAUCAAAAAAGCAUAAUAGAAGUUUAAAAGGUUGCUGUUCUCUCUUCGUUUUUUCCUUUUUAUUUACUUUUUUUUUUUACUAAUUCUUUUUACAAAUCAUCCUAAAACGAUUAACAAAGAAAUAAAAAAGGAGGAAAAGGGAAGAGACUACCUGGAAUGGUCCCACAAGCCAUCGCCGGAGGCCGUUUUGGUCGCCGAAAUCGGACCAAAAGGGGUGUGAAACCCCCUUUUCCUUUGGCCUUUUGGGUCAAGAAGGCUUGUCCUUCGAGCGGGAUCUAAAGCGGGGCUAAAACCGCCCUUUCGCGCAGCGCCGGCCACCGGCCACGGCGGCGUUACGGUGGCAACCAUGGCCGGCCAGGGGAAGGCUGAGAGAGACCAAGGGAGACUGAGAGGGCUCUCUGUUUUGGUUUUUUUUUUUUUAAU